rnacentral:lncRNA from 1 species
AAAAAAAAAAAAAAACUUUCUCUAAUACAUAGUUCCAAAAUGAUAAUACAAAUAAAUGAUUGAAUAAAAAAUCCAAUCAAAUAAACUCUCGUUGGCAUUUAACUUUGUUAAUAAAAUUCUAGGAUAUAGUUGCACGUUAGUAUCAUUAUUUAUUUUUUGGAUUGACCUGUUUUUGAGAUUAUCUUAUUGACUUUCACUUCAGUUUUAAGAGGAUAUCUUAGUCUUCUAGAGAUUUAAACUAAUUCAUUGUUUUCACUUAAUUUUUUUUAAUGAUUCUUUCUUUUCCAUCUUUUCAACCCAGAACUUAAAGAUCAAAUUGAUUUCUUCUAAGACAAUAUUUGUCGAGGUAGAUUUAAAUCUUGAGAAACAAAUUUAAAAAUAACUUAUUUAACGACAACUAAUUUAUGACCAUUAGUUGCAAAUUUGAGAUGAGAGAAUUCUUAUAAAAUACUGGAUUUUCAAGAGACAAUAAAUUAUUUUUUUAACAAAUAAUCCAAUUCAUAAAUAUCUUCCAAAGAUAGCAUAUCAACAAAAAUAUCAUCAAACCAAUCAAACUACUUUUUUCUUUAGAUCUCAAAAGAUUAAUAAUUAGUAGUAGUUAAUGUUAUAACAAAUAUGAGUUGAAAUUUGUUAUAGAAAUAAGAAUAAAAAAAGUAAUAAAUAAAAACAAUCUAAUCAUUAUUUAUGUGUCGAUAAUAUAUCUUCUAAACUAGUCUAACACUUAAACAUACUUGAUUAUACUAUAAAAAAAUUGUCUAUGUGAAAGAAGGAGUUGCAUGAGUGUUUUAUAGUUAGAGUUGGGUUGUGGAAGUAUGAUUUGUAUGAUAUGUGAAAGGGUACAAAGUGUAGAGUAUGAGUGAAUAAUUAAUAAGACUAUUUUUGGGGCAAGCAAAGAAAAUAAAGCCUUCUUUUGAACGUCCCCAUUAUGAUCAUAAACAGAAAAGAUGAAGGAGCUUGUGCAAUAAUUGCACAACACAAGUUCAGAGUUAUUAGAAUUAUAUGGGUCCUUUAGUGUAUGCAUGACACAGAGCGUUUUGAAAUGGUGAUGUCCACAUGUAAGGAAAUUAUAGCUCCUUUUCUAGAUAUACUUUGAAUGGGAAGAAAUGUGAUAGUGAUAGGAGUAGGAUACAUUUGUUGAGGCAAUGAAUUAAUAGCAUAUACGUCCAAUUUUAUGCAACUUUGUUCACCCUUCUCCAAAGGACUUCACAGAUUUAUGGGGGGAAUAUCAUUUUAAUUGAAGAUAUUGUUACUCAAAUAUUAAACAUAAAACAUUUCAAAUAGAUGAAAUUUGGCAACAUGUUAGUCACGUUUUUUGUAUGCAGAGGACAUUUAUAACUAUGAACAUUUCAAAUAGAUGAAUUUUUUUACAAGCAUGAUAACUUUGUUGAAGAUUUGGAAUGAAUAAGAGAGGUUGACUAAAUUUAUGAAGGCAUUUGCAAAAAGGGAUCCAUGUUAUAAUUCCUUGUAUUGAAUCUGAACAUGUUAGAAUAAUGAGUGAUGCCAGCUAGAGAAAUAAUACGUGAAACCCAUAUAACACUUUCUCUCCUACUAAAUUAUCUCUCAAAGCGUGUGCAACUUUCACACUAUCAAACAACAUUUACUCAUUAGUAUAAAACCCUAAUCAUCAUCCACUCACUUAUUGUUUAUACUAUCACCAACUUCAAACUUAACAUCUUAUUUAAAACAUUGAUUUACACAAUUUUAAAUACAAAAUCUAUAUUGGAUUUCACAAUUAAAAUAAAUUAACAAUUACAGACAAAUCUGAAAUUAAUGUUUUAAAAAUACUUGCUAGCAUUUGUCUUGCUAUAUUAACUAUUUGAACAAAUUUCAAUACAUUAAAACAUGGAAGUAGUUUACAUAAUGAGAGUUUAGUGAAUAAAUUUUGGUGCACUUAUGAUGAGCUUAACUUAAUUAUAUUAUAUGAAGAAUGAGUUGAGUUUGUGAAGUGUGAGGAAGUGAACAGAGUUGAGGUUUAGCAGCCCAUGAUUUUUCUGUGAUAAAGGGAAGGCAAGCAUGUCUUACACCAAUUAAGUGCCUCAGUGUUCUCCUCUUCAUAGCAAUCAUACAAGAUUAGGGGCAAAAUAUGAUUAAGGCUCCAGAAAGUAAUGAAUUAAAUAAGGGUAUUGUUUCCUUUUUGAAGAGCCAGGGGCCACCUUUGUAAUUACAUUAAAAGUAGUAACAUUUUUACUUUGCUUUGAAAUUUCAAAUCUCUUUCUCUCACUCUGAAUCACAAGGCAUCAUGGCAGCCAAAGCAAAAGAAAGGGGUUGUGUUACAAUAAAGAAUGGGAGAAAAGGAAAGAAGCACGUUGCCAACCCCAUCUUAGUACACUCACACACUUCACCAAAACCCUCUUCUUCUUCUUCUUCUUCACUCUCUACUCAAAUGAAAAUACUUUGCUCCCUUCCUCCAACUCUCUCAUACUUUCAGUUUUCUUUGUUCAUGCAAGAUCCAAAGAACGAUUCAAACUCAAGGUAUGUUAUGUUCCUCUCCAAACACUUGAACACACUCACACACCCAUGUUGAGAAUUUAAUAAUCUUAUGUACUUUGCUUUCUGUCAUCAUAUAUAUGCUUACUCUAUUCUAUUUUUCUUACUGAUAAAUGUUUCUAACAAAAUGUGUGAUCAUCUAUAGUUUAGGAGAUAAUUUCGAUUUUUGCCUUUUUGUUGGUUAGUUGUAGAGAAGAUGCUCACAUUAUUCCUUCUAAGGCCUUAAACUAAGCUUAACUCUUGUCCUGGACUAGUCAAACAUUUGGUCAUCAAGUUAGAUAGGUUCAACCUUGUGUAACCUCCUCAAUUUUUUUUUCUUUUUUUUUAAAAACUUUCAUAUUAGAGAUUAGAUAUUACUAUGCAACUUAUCGAAAAUUUAAGUCUCAGUGAUUUUAAAAAUUUGAUCAACUCCAAAACAGCAUCAUUCAUGCCUAGAUAGGAAAGUCAAUUCUCUGGCUGACCUCCUUUUUAGCUUUUUAAAUAGUGAGCCUAAAUUUGGAAAUUCUCCAGUUUAGAUUAACUCUGUUGCAAGGCUUAAAAAUGACCCUCCAAAUGGUUUCUUAAGGUUGUGAAAGAGUUAAAAAAAUUCAAUUUAUGCUCCACUUGUACAAUUACUUCAGCAUGCUAUUUUGGAAAAAUGAAUGUAGUGAAGGGUGUUAUGAACCAAGAAGCUGCUGCAUCAUCUGAAGAACUCACACAUAAUAUGCACUUUUUUGAAGUUGCAGGAAGCCCUGGUAUCAAAGAGCAAUGGAGGUGACUAGCCUAUGGAAAAGUAUGUCGAAAUCCACAGAAAUUCCGGCAGGCAAUUCCAGCAUAUGGAAGACAGCAUCAUCAAUGCCAAAAUCCCCUCAAGUUCCUACACCAAGUCCUAACAAGAACAAGCUAAGAAAAUGUGCCUCCCUAAAGGUUGCAACAUCCUUCACAAGGGUUUGUCUUUGUGCACCUAUGUAUUCAUAUAAUGAGAUUUUGAGAGCUGAGGUGCCACCUAGAAGAAGCAAUAGUUACCCAAGAUCGAAGCCAUUGCAAAGUGCACAUGAAAGAAGUCCUAGUGCUAGACUUAGCACAGAGGGAAGGAGAGUAUUCCGGGGCAAAUCAUUAACUGAUGAUGUUCUAAUGAGAAGGUUUGUGAUUGAGGAAGAGGCAAUGAUGCAAAUUAGAAGAAGAAAUCAAAUGGAAGUUAUUAGGAAGAGGAGUAUGAUUAGGAGAAAGAAGCUUGGGCCUAGUCCUCUUAGUAGAAUGGUAAUGGCAAAUCAUAAUCAUAUUGGACAAUUUAAUUGAUUGCUCCAAUUCCUGUAGUGUCAAGUCAACUCCAAUCGCUGAAUUUUGUUUUGUUUUUUUUUGCCACUGAACUUUUUCACCUGGUGUCACAAGUUUCUAUAGUUCCACCACUACUGGGGUUAUCUUCUGAUUGCAACAUUUAAUUUUACAUCACCACCCAAUUUUAAGUAUAGCUACCUCAGAAUCACAAAUUUAAUUUCCUUUACAUGUUCAUUCAUAGAUUUAUGUUGGAAAAAUUCUCUUCUCAGUCAAAGUGUGUGUGUGUGUUUGUACUAGUUCAUUUUAACUAACAUUCAAUCAAAAGCUUUGCAAGAGAACUUUUUGAGAGAAAACCAAACCAAACCAUACCAAACGUAUAUCCCAUGUUAACUUCUGAAAUCAACAAACUCAGCCAACUAACUACUAUGUGUAGACUUCUUAAUUUGCUUAUAAGACACUCUAAAAACACAAUUCUUUAAUAAAACUUGAAGAGCAAGGAUAGUGGUUAUCUAAUUUGUAUCUGAAAGGCCAAGUUAGGUUGUUUUACACUAAAUUUAGAAUCGUUAUUUUGGAAGAUUAAGAAGGUGAAGAGUGUUGUUAGUUGGUAACUUACUUGGAAAUAUUUAUGGAAUUUAUGAGAUAUUAUGAAUUGAUCACCAACCGAAUCUUAUUAUCUUAUUAAUGUUAUCGUUAGUGAAAUUAAGUGAACCUAAAUACUUAUGAAUACGGAAUUUGGGUUGGUAUUGAUGGAAAAUAUUAUGUAAAAUAUAAUGGUCCUAGCACUUCCAAAAGAUCAUUUUGUCCUUAGCAUCCUUUUAAAUUUAUUAAUUAAUAUAAAAAAACACCUGGAAGAAUAAUAGGACAUGGGAUGUAAUAAAGUAACAAAUUAAUUGAAUGAAUUUGCAUUUCUUCAACUCUAUAGUUGUAUUCAAGUUAAACAUUUAAUUUUAUCUUCAUAUAAUAGUUUAUUAAAGUAUCUUGAUCAUUGAUGUUUUUUAUACAUUUGUUAUUUGGUUUUAAUUUAUAUGUACAACACAUGAUUAAAUUAAUACAAGAACUGAACUAAAAGUGUGAGAAAAAUGAAAUAAAGAUUGUGAAUAGACACUUAUGCUUCAACUGAAGAUUAAAUAGAAACAGCAUAUGAUGAUGAUGAUGUGAUAGAAGAAAAAUAUUGGUUACCUACCAAGACAUGCUUUAUAAAUUAUUACAAGAUAAGCACUAGUUUCUUCUCUGUCCGAGGAAAUAAUAAACACAACCAUGUUUGAAUUAAGGCAACCAUAAUUAAUAGCCAAAUUUAAAAGUUGUUGCUUGUCUUUAUGAUUAAAUAUGUAAUUGAACAGUGGUGGUUGAAUGUUAAUGUUUUAUAUUCCAACAAUGGUUGAAGUCACAUAAUGUUUUGCAGUUGUCUGAGACGAGAACACAAGUGUGUGGCUACAUGCACAUUAUCUCUACGCACCUUCUAACAGUACCUCUACUGUGUCUGUGGGGUACGUCACUGCAACCACCCACUGCAUUUUUCAUUCACUCAAAACCACGCACUACUUUUCUAACCAAACACAUUAUGCAAAUCAUAUCAAACAUUUCUAAUUAACCAUCAUAAUAUAUAUAUAAUCAAUAAUAUAACUUUAUAACUCAGAAAGUUCAAAAUUAAUAUAAUAAUAAAUCAUUUUUUAUGAUAUUUCACUUUUUAAAAGCUGCCUAAAGGCUGUAAAUUUUCUAGACACGUGUGUCAUUGAAAACUCCAAACUCUCUAAUUGAUUUGAUUCCACUUCUUAGGAUAGAAGAGAGCUUUCGUUUGCUUUAUUUUUUUUAUAAAAAGAAUUGAUAAAAUAGAGAAAAAAAAUUAUUAUUAUCAUUAUUGGCUGGAAAUAAUUUCAUGAGCAGAUGGGGAGAUGCAUUUUUGUGAUAUUCAAGUAUCGAAUAAAGGUUUAUGAGUACAUUUUAAUAAGAACAUAAAUGAUAAUAUUACUAUUAUGACGAUGAUUGGAUUGAGGAUAAUUAAAUAAAUGCGUUUUUUAAAUAUUGUAGGUAAAGUUGUACAACAAUAUCUAAAGUAAAAGUUUUUAUAUAAAAAAAAUAAUGUAUGUAAAAUUUAUGUCUAUAAGUAAAUAAUUAAUUUUUCUUUAUAAGGAUAAAUGAGUUUUACAUGGAGGUUGACUUCUUAAGAGUUGAGUUAUGUAUGCUAAAUCUUCUAGUGUCAGGUUUUAUCACUAUGCAGAUUUUUAAAAACUCAAGUGAUGUGUUUAAGUGAAAUCACUUUGUCUUUUUAUUAUUUAAUUAAUCAUACAUAUGUACAUUUAUGAGCAUAUUGUGAAGCAUGUCAUUAAUGUUCUUAAUAAGGGGUUUCACAAUUCUCAAAAUGUUUUUACAUUUUGUUGUGACUUUCACUUUUCAUUUUCAAUACAUGACAUUGAGGGAAAAUGCAUUAUUUUGCGUGAAGUAAAUUAAUGUUUUCCUUUUAAAGAAGUUUGUUUACUCCUUUUGACAUUUUGCAUGUUUAAAUCUUACAAGAGCAACACCUUCAAGAGCCUUCUUUAUGGGAAUUCACUUAGGUUCAUAAAGAUAUCACAGAAAGGACACUACAACUUAUAAGUCCCAUAGGUGCAACAAAAGAUUCAAAUAAACUAAGCUUUCAAGAAUGGUGUUCUUGGUUGGUCUUUGGUUUCUUUCUAGGUUGAAUGUGGUUCUGUCAUGGGUUGAUUUUUGGUUGAAUCAAGGGCUAAGAUCUUGUAUAAAGGUUGUGGAACUUAUGUGAAUGAAAGGGUAGUGAUUAUCAAUUUCCUUUCUUUGGUUUCUUUACUUAAGGAGAAAAGUUGGUGAUAUUUCUUGAAGGUGUGGCCACUAGUGUGAACAAGAUGGUUCGGAGUUUGUUUUUUAUGAUUUUGUAAGCUUGUUUCGUCUUACCUUUUUAGAUCAAUUAUGAGACAAUGCAAUUGUCUCUCAUAUAUUUUUUGCGCUUGUCAUAACAUGAACUUUAGAUAUUUCUUCUUCAGAGAGAGUGCACAAGAGGAUAUGUCUAACUUUGGUGUUGAGUUAGUGUAAUGCCUUUUCUUUCUCAUUCCAUGAUUCCUAUUCAGUAAAUUUUUCAGAGGAAUUAAGAAUAGGAGAGAUAUGUUUUUUACACAACAGUCAGAAGAUCCACGUUGUUGAAGGAAGGAUGCCAUCCUUAACUUUCAUAUAUCAUAUUCUUUCCCUUGAACAUCCUUAACUUUCACAGUCAUCUCAAGCAACCUGCUUAAGAGCCUUUACUGUCACAAGUAUUUGAAACCUCUCUAGGCAAGAUUUAUGCAUCUCUUCAAGUAUAUGUAUUCUACACCUCUCUAGGUACAAGUAUUCUACACCUCUCCAGGUACAACCAUUCUACUUAUCUCCAGGCAACUAGUCUCAAUCUCCCACUGAGAUCAAUACCUCUCAACAAGUGAUAAACACUCUCAAAUUGAGAGCAACAAUGAAAGUGCACAAGAUUAUCUUCACACAGUGAAGGAUUUACAAUAUAUGACUCACUCCCCAAACAAUGAGUGCUCCAAACAACAAGUAUCAAAUACAAUAAUAGUAAAACCAUUGACACUAAGAAUAUGAUCCCAUUAUGUAAGCUUGGUAUUGUGUGUUGUCUUCUUCAUUUUCAAGGUCUUUAUAUAGUGUUUAGAUUAUGAUAGUUGAAAUUUUGAUUUCUUCUAUAGGCUAAGAAUGAAAACUCUUGCUCUAAUUAAGUAUUCUGCGUUUUGAUCAUGUGAGACAAUUACAAAUGUUUCUAUUCAUACCUCAAUUAUGAACAUUGUUGCAUUAAGUCUCUUUACUCAAAUAUCUAAUGUAAUAAACCACGUUGUUUUUUGUCUUCAAUGCCCUAGACACUCAUUAUGGAAGCUUUUGCUUUGAUAGAAUUUGUGUGUCUUCAAUGUGUAUUCACUCCUUUGAAUGCUUGUAUCAACCUUGAAUUAUUUUAUUCUUUUGUUCCAAAUGUGAUCGUUGAUACUUUAAUGCUUUACCCUAAUCAUAUCUUUCAUUUAAUGAUAUUGUUCGUCAUCUUCUUUUCCUUAGACGUUGAAUGUAACAACUUCUGCUUUGAUCAAAAUCCGCGUGUAAACAAUUUGAAAAUGUUUCCUUUUAAUUCUUGAUGUGAACGUUGAGCCUUUAAUUCUUUUUAAAUGAUCUCUUCAUUUAUCUUUGCAACGUUGUUCUCUUUGAAUAUAGUAGACGCUGGGUUAGGAAAUGUUUCCUUUGAAGUAAUGUUCGCGUCUUCAUCACAUAUUUUGUUGAUGCUCUUUGAAUUAUUUCCUUUCUUGUGAUUUGUUUGAAUGUUGAUGUAUAUAUAUGGAAUGAUCUUGAAUCACGUUCUUCACUUUGUCACUUUGUCGUUAGACGCUAAGUAUGGAAAGUUCUGAUAUACAUCUUAAUGCAUGUUUCUCACUUGAUGAUUCUCUUAAAUAUAUUCUUCUAUAUACAUAUUCUUCUUCUUCAUUGAUUGCAAAAGCUUUGUGAAACUUUAAAUUCUUCGCGCAAAUCUCACUUUACAACAACUUCGUUUUCCCGUUAGACGCUAUUUAAAGAAACUUUGUACUUGUUCUCUUUUGCGUCUUUAUGUUCUUAAAACACAUUUAGAAACCUUUCAUGAAUAACAAUGAUUAUCAUAAUCAACAUUACAAAGCAUGGGUAUCACUGAAACAAAAUCUUUCAAUAUCUUUUGAAUUAUCAAGACCUUCCAAUCUCAGAUAUUAAUUCAAAACAUAUUAUCAAUAUAUUCUGGAUUUAUACUUGGAAUAAAUCUUAAUAAACAUAAUUUAUUUUUAAUAUAUUCCAUAAACCAUACUUCAAAAAAUAUUUUACCGUGUGAGAUACAUGUGUUUUGUUUUAUAUUCUUCAUUGUAAAGCAUUCUAUACUUGGCUUUAAGCACUGUGUUUUGAUAUAAUCUUAAUUUAUAUGGAUUCACAUAAUCAAAACGAGUUUCGAGAACAUUUGAUAAUUAUUCAAACAUUUAUAGAAUAAAAAUAUUAAUCUUGGAAACUUUCCUGUCAAAUGAUCGUUGUCUGCCAUGUUGACUUGAUCAUCGUCUAACGUGUUCAUGGCUUUCAACGUUUAGCAUUUGAGUGUAAUUUUCUCUAACGUUGUAUUGAGCUUGGUCCAUUGAGUUCUUCUAUAGACAUCUUCUAACGAGUUACUUGAAUUGACAUGCGUUGUGAGACCUUCGUAUAACUUUUUCACAUUUGAACAUCAUCUAACGAGUUAUUAUUGUUGGCCUUGCAAGCCAUGAGUAGGAGUUUUGGUUCAUUUAAUUUUUCAUGUUUAGUGAAGAUAUAAUCUAUCACUUCUUCAUAUUGACAUUGUCUAGUGCUUUCAGUGAAGUCAAAACUUCUUUGUUUUUUUAGCGCAUCGUCUGACGAGUUACUUCAUCUUUCUUCUUAAAAAGUGUACUUGUGAUUUUGUUAUGCUUUGCCGAUCUAGUAAGUUUUGCACUCUUAAUAUUGUUGAUAGAAAUCAUAACACAUCUUUUUAAUUUUAUGUUAUCAUCAAAACAUACUUAGAGUCUCUUAUCAUAAGAUUGUCCAAUGAGUCAAGGAAUCAUCUAAAACUAAUUGGAUCGUCUAGUAUCUUAACACUCUUCUACUUUGUGUUUUUCAUCCUUCAUACAUGAAAAACUAAUUCUUGAAAGAUUAAUUCAUUAAAUCAAGGAUAAAAAAAAUGUGAAUUGAGUUUUGUACCAAUUAUUUAACGCUCUGAGCUUGUUUUGUCUUGGAUUUGUAUUUUAUGAUAUUAAUUUCCAUUUGUGUUUAGAAAUCAAAUUGGGAAUUAAUUAAAUAUUAAUUUGAUAACUAAAAAUAUAUUAGAUCGAAUUAUAUUUUAAUUUGAUUCAUAUUUUCUAGUUUAAUGACAUUUCUUAUAUUGAAUUGAUUAAAUCAGACACUUAAUUGUUCAAAAUUGGAUAUGAUUAUUUAGAGAAUUAUGAUAAGAGAAAUUGUAUGGAUCUUGAAUCUAUGAAUUGACAUUUCAUCUUCUUGUAUUUCAUUUUUCAAUUUUGUUUGUUUUCAAUCCCUAAACCCCUAAAUUAAUUUGUACAUGAAUAAUAUUAAAUAUUGAAUACAAUCAAUGUGUCCUCUGAAAAUCAAUAUAAGCUGUGCUCUAUAUUACAAAUUUUUAAAGAAAAAGUAUUAAUUUUAUUUUAAAAAAAUAUAGUUAAUUCGAUAAAUUUGUGUAUAUUGUAAAAAGUGAAUAUAAAUUUUUCUCAACUAUGGGCAUAUAUACUUUUUCACGUUCAAUAUUGUCAAGCGUCUAAAGCAAUAGGUGAAUUGGCUCCAUUUCAACUUAAUACUUAAUAUUGUUUAACUUGACCAUAUACAUCUUUAUUAUUGAAAGUAUUUUUCAUUGAACUCAAAAUUAACACUACAAGGAAAAACAUGAAAUAGAAACCAAUUUUAGAUAAAAAAAAUAAUUAAUUGUUAUAUAAUUAAAUUAGAGAACAUUUUAGAAACUAAAAAAAAUUGGUUUCUAAAUUAGUUUCUAUUAUUGUUAAAUGGUUUCUAAAUUGAUAUUUAAUUAGCUACCAAGGUUUUAACUACUAAUUAUUUAUAUUCUAAAUUUGGUAGCAAAAACUUUGGUUGCUAAUUAGAUACCAAUUUAGAAAACAUUUAACAAUAAUAGAAACUAAUUUAAAAACCAUUUUUUUUAAUCUUUAAAAUGAUCUCUAAUUUAGUCACUAUAGCAACUAAUUAGUUUUGAUCUAUAAAAUUGGUUUUUAUUUCAUAAUUUUCUUGUAGUGUAACCAUGGAUAAUAGAUUAGUUUAACAACUAUUUGCUAUUGUUUUUAUUAGCUAAUCAUAUAUUAUUAUUAUUGAGGUUUAAUAUUUUCGUAGGUCCAUAAUUUUGAAAUUUAUUAAUUAGGUAUCCACACUAAGAAAUUCUCAAUCUUCUAUAAUUUGUUAAUUGGAUUCUUAAAAUAAUAAUACUGUUUCAAUUUUUUAUUGCUUCAAUCAAGCAUAAACUAAUUUCAGACACCCAAUAACAAAAAUUGAAAAAAAAAAAAUUAAGGAUGCAAAUCACAAAAGAAUGGUUCUAGAAACUUAUUAAUUUUUAAAAAAAGUUGAAAGAUGAUAACCCUAUUGUUUAAUAUUGAGAUUGAUAAACUAGCAUUGAUUAAUCCUUCCUUAUAAUAGUAUUAUGUGAUGUGAUAAAGAUGGAGCAUUGAAUGGUGGGAAAACAGAAUAUAGUAUACGUGGCCCCAAGCCAAGAAUUUUCCACACGGUUCUUUUGGGUUUAUACUAACCCUGCCCUAGUUCAAACCAAAUCAUUACCCUCCCUUUUCUCCCUUUCUUCAAUUCCUCCAACAUGACUCCACAAAUUCACUGCUUCAUGUAUUCUUAGAUAAUUAAGAAGGUUAGAGAAGAUAUUAACAAAAUUUCCACUAAUUUUGAUUAAGUAGUCAUAAAUAAGUGCUAAACUAUGAAUUAAUAUUAAUAGUGCGAUGAUAUGUAUGUGUGUCAUGAGUACGUGGAUGAGUCUACACACUCUCUGCACUUAUGAAGAUGUGUGUGUAUGUUUUUGUGUGUGAUGCGAGGAAAGGAGGGGGUGUGAGUGUGUGUAAGAAUGUAUGAGUGUGAGUAUGUGUGUGUGGAUGAGUGUAUGAGUGUGUGUUUGUAUGUCCGCGUGUUGUGUCUGAUAAAGUUUAUGUUUGAGAUAAAUAAUAAUAUAAGUGUUUCAAAAGUUUACAUAAUACUAUUUGUAGAUAUUUUUAGUAUCUUUGUAAAGAAUGUUCUCUCAUUUGACUACCAAAAUGAUCUCUCAAAGAUUGUCAACAUUAGAAGAUCUUGAGAAGUGUGUCGAAUUUUUUUUAUGCAAACAACUUCAUUAAAAUGAGAGUUUAUCAUCGUUGCAUAGUUCAUUCGCUUUGUAUGAUCUUGACUUUUACUCUAUUAAGAUAAAAGGAGUUUAACGUAAUCUUGAUAAGCUAUGUUAAGUAUCAGAACGUUCCUUCAAAACAUUCCUUCAAAUAGAAGUAUGUAUUUAAGUGUUACAUGGAGAGAAUUCAACAAAAUCCUCAACAUUUAUAAGAACAAAUACAAUAAAAAAAGACUUCUCUUUGUUUCAAACAACUAUCAAAGGAUUGCCACAACUCUUUUUUUCACCCCUCUCUAUAUAAAAUAUAUCUUUGAAGAAGAAAGCCGACGAACUUACAAAGUUAUGGACAAUUGUAAGUUGAAAUCUUAAGAUUGCAAGCAUAACUCGUUGAUAGAGCAUUAUUAUGUUCUUUAGCAACCUAGAAGAUUGAACUUCAUCUUGUAUGUUAUAAGACGUAACACCUUUUUUAGUGAACAAUCUUGUGGUGCAAUCAGAUAUUUUUCUAACCAACCAAGUGUCUUAGCUAGAGGUGAAUAUGUUCCAAUUAGUUGUUUAAUCAGAAGUGACUACAUUUCAAACAAUACUUAGUUUUAGCUAUGAGUUAUUGUAUUCCAAACAACACACAAUUAUUUAGUGAAAAGUGAUUGUAAUCCUAAUAAUAUUCAAUUUUAAUUAAGAGUGAUUUCAUUCCUCGGAUUCCAAAUAAUAUUUGAUUGUUUAAAAAAAAACAUUUCAAUUCACUGCACACAAUUUACAGGGUUAAACACGUUGCUGAAAAGUUGAAGGUAUGAACGACAAAUAUUUAUGAAAAAACUUAAGCAAUCAUCAAAGAAAGAAUAUUUUUAAGGUGGUCCAUCCUGCAUCAGUUGAUAGUUAAAUGACCUUUCCCCUUUUAAAAUCUACCUGCCUCCUCUGGUUUUGACUGUAGCCAAACCAAGACUUUUCAAAAGAUUAACGUGGCCUUUAGUUCUUAAGAUUACAGAUUUUCAACAAAACACCAAGUAGUUAAGGUUUGCCAAAACAAACACGUAACCAAACUUAAUUAGAAUCACGAUGAUUUGGAUAAUUUAUUUUUUGUUAACCACGGCACUGAACUGUAUCAUCAUCAUCAUCAUGAAGGGAAGAACAUAAAUUACAGCGCAAGAUUAAAAGAAAAAUUGUGUUUUUCUUAUUCAUGACGCUGCCAUAUUUCAUGGAAAAUGUUACAAAUCAAGCACUCAAAUAAUAAUAAUAUGCGACAAGAUAGAACCUUUCAGUGGUUCUUGAGAUGCAAUGGAAAGCUAAAAAAUCCCCUUUUUCCAAUUUCUUCUAUUUCAACGGAUAUAUCCUUCUAUUAUGCAUUCAGAGACUAAGUAUGCACGUGUUUGCAAAAGUAGGCGCGUGUGUUUGAGUCUCCAAAGAAGCGUGGUGUGGAUGAACAGGUACAUGGCAGGGCCAUAAAUAAAAGUCCAUGCUUUUUAAUUUGUUAUGCAGUAUUUUUGUCAGAUCUAAAAAUAACAGUGGAGAUGAAAAUGUUGGUAAGGUGGCAAUAAUGAAAGUUAUAAUAGAAUUAAUAAGGAAGAGGAAAUAAAGAGCAUGGUACCAAACUCAACCGUUUAUAAUAAGUGGCAUGUAAUUCUUUUGUAGGUGUCCACAUAGUCUUCUCAUUGAAGUAAAGUUGGUUGAAGUUGUCCACAUUGAGUGAGAAAGUGGCCAACCAGCCCUUCUUUCUCCUUCUCUCAUCAUCAUGCAUCAUGGAACCAUAAGAAAAAAAAAUUAAUUAUAAAUCCCACAAAACAUAGAAAAUUAUAAAUCCCACAAAAGGUGAAAGGUGGCUUGAGGAAAAGUAACUUCACACAACACAGCCUAAGGGAAUUGGAUUCUAAGCUCUAGAGAGAGAUAUAUUUGAUCCAAGUAGCAAGAAUCAUGUGGUGCUGGAAAGGGGAGGGAGGCUAGAAAAAGAGGUAGAUAGAGGGUACCCUCUUCUUUGCACUGUUCUGUGCCUGUUACACCACUUUUUGGAGUUCUUCUAGCAACCUCUGCCAACACAAACAAGGUAUCUUCUCUAUGAUCCUUGUGUUUUGUGUUUUGUUUUAUUAAUAGGUUUUGGGGUUGUGCUAAAUUUGUUAGUUAUUAUGGUUAUCUUAUAAAUCUUAAGGGCAUGGACUUGUCUGACUCAUGAUUCUUCCUUUUGCUUCUUAAUUUUCAUCAACAUGGCAUUAACUAACCUGGCCUCGGGAUCCUCCUGCCAUAAUCUCCACUAUAGAGCCUGUCAGAAGGUUAUCUUUUCUCGUUUUUGUUGAAACUGUAGGAGAACAACUCAGUUCCUCUCUGUCAUGUUCACAACUUGGUCUUUCUUUCUUCUUCUUCUUCUUCGGAAUUGACUAAGCUUUCAUUUCACAAAUCAUGUAGGAUUUUCUUUCUACUCAAUUUUCCUUGGUGCCUAGAAAAGAAUUCUCUUUCCUCUUUUGUUUUGGCGUUUAAUUUUGACAAUUCCGCUUUCUUUUUGCUUUCAUUUUUUUCAGUUCAAAGUUUCGUUCUUUUUCUCACCUUAGAUUAUACUGAUAUGAACUCAUGUCCUCCUCAUAUACUCCAUACUCUUUCUAUGUGUACCUUCAAUGAUAUAGUCAUGUACCCUUAGAUUGGUGUGUUUGUUUCACGAGUGUCCAGUUAAAAACUAUACCGUUUUCUUCUUCUUGCGUCCGCUGCAUAAAGGGGCUUUUUCAUUUAAUUUCGUUUGUUGUUUAUUAAUUCAAUUAUCUUUUUUGCCAUCAACAGCCUGAAAAUAAAAUAGAGAUGCUGUCUCCUUGCUGGGGAUCGUUCUGGUGGGCUUUACUCUCCAUAAAUUUCUUCCCUUGGUAAAGGAGAAAUAUAAUAUGUACCAAAAUUAUGAUAAGAAAACAUGAUAUUGCCAUUCCAUAUAGAUUGCUAUAUAUAGCCUUAGAUGAUGUUGUCACAGAAGAAUGAAUUAUGCGUGGGUAUAGUUGAAAUGAAUCUCUUUGUUAUCUUGUAUUCUAGUCCUCGUAUGUCUCUUCUCUUUUUUGUUAUGAGAAUCAUGUACACCUACAUGAACGGUUUUGAUUUUACAAGUUCUUAAUUCAUCUUAUAUUUGAAGCUAGCUGAAAAUUUUAUUAAUUCUAUAAUAGCACCAGCAUGCACAGGACGUGAUCUUUUGCCUUCAUUUUCUGUUUCAGGAAGAGACAGUAAUGCUACUGAUAUGGGAAAGAAGGGGAGUUGGUUUUCUGCAAUCAAGAGGGUUUUCACUCACCACUCCAAGGGGAAAGUAAGUAAUAUAAAUGAAAUGCUUGAUUGAAUUUUGUACGCUGUUCUUGCUUGUUGCUAUAUUUGGCAUCUCCAAUAGAUGACAAAAAGAUUAGCCAUUUGAGACUGGAAUUACAAUGAAUAAUUUGCAGUUAGUGAAUUAGGUUCCUCCAUGACCACUAAUGGAUAAUUUAAUAUUUUGCAAAGUGAUCUAGGAGGUUGUUUGCCUUUCAUUCCAGCAUGUUACAUCAUAUUGCUGUUUUAUUCAUUAAAAGCAAAACUACUUGAUGGUGGUUAUUUCUUUAUUUGAAAGUCAAUUUUUGUAGCAUGUUUUGUUACCAAUAUGUCUGACCAUCUUGUAUAAUACAGCCGGAUGCAGAUAACAAAGGCACAAAAGAAAAGAAGAAAAGUCUAGGAAAAGUAAAGCAUGGAGAGACCAAUUCAUUCAUCCCCCUCUUCAGAGAGCCAAGUAGCAUUGAGAAAAUCUUUGGGGACUUUGAAAGGGAGCAACAACUACUGGGGUUAAGGCCUGCCACUCCUCCUGAGAGACCCAAAACUCCACCUUAUGUCCCUCCAAGAGCUCCUUCUCCUAGGCCUCCUUCUCCAAGGGCUCCUUCUCCAAGGCCUCCAUCUCCAAGGGCUGCUUCUCCCAGGGCUUCUUCGCCACGAGUUACCAGUACCUCUCCCAAAGCUGCAUCUUUCCGGAUUUCUCAUCACCACAAGGAGGUUGGCUACAGACCAGAACCAACUUUGAGGCACCAGAAUGCCUCAGCUACUAAGAUCCAGGCUGUUUAUAGAGGUUAUAUGGUAAGCUUUCAUGUGUUCUGAAUGCCAUAACUAGAACUUUGACUUUGUUAAUGUGUGUCUCCUUAGGUCUAUGUUUAUGAAUUAAAGUAGAUAUACUGGUUACAAAUAAAAUAUGAAAAUAUUUUAUCAAAACUUGUUAUUGAUGCAUUCCACCAUAACUACAAGUUAGGCUUUGUAAAUGUGUAUCUCCAAAGCAUUUAAUACUUUCUCCCUUAAGUAAUUAGGAUGAUGCUGUAAGGGGUAGGUAAUGGAUGCUUCUCAUUUAUGCUAGAAAAGCAAAAAUACGUAAACAAAAAUCACAGAACUCAAGGGUACAUGAUGAACCCAAUGUCUAUUAUUUCUUUAGGUUCAUAUCAUAAAAAUGAGAAAUAUUAAGUGGAAACUCUAUAACAUGCUUUCUUUCAAACACAUUUCUUACUAUUAUUUGAAAUUUAUGGUGACUAGAAAGUGAUAUGGAUCAUGUUCCCUACUUAAUUAGUCUUGGACAAUAAUAAAAGAUGUGUUGGUAGUAUUCCUUGAAAAAAUUCAUGUUUCUGACAGUGCAGAAGAAUAAAUAAAUAAUAUAGUUAAUUAUUCUUCAUUUAAAUGCACAAUAUUCACAGUUAAAAUGGAAUAUAAAAGCACAUCAUGUUGUGUAAUUAUUUUCUGGCAAAACCAAAUUUCGCCAUGUCUUUCGUGUCAAGCUUGAAAAUUAUGUGCAUAAAUAGGCUGAUUACUGUGCUAACUUUGAGAGAAUGAAUGGGCUAAUGAAUUAAAAUUGAGUCAGCAGUUGCAUGAAGAAUGCUCCUCCUUGAUCCAAUAGUUUUAACUGUUUUUUAAUUUUAUUAUGAAAAAAAAAAGAUCAACCUUGUGACACGUUAUACUUGCAAUGCAAUGCAGGGAAGGAGGAGUUUUAGAGCACUAAAGGGUCUGGUGAGGCUCCAAGGAGUAGUAAGAGGACAGAAUGUGAAGAGGCAGACAGUAAAUGCCAUGAAGCACAUGCAACUGUUAGUGCGAGUUCAAUCUCAGAUUCAGUCUCGAAGGAUCCAGAUGUUGGAAAACCAGGCACGAUAUCAAGCUGAGUUCAAGAAUGAUAAGGAAGCAGCCAGUAUCUUGGGAAAACUCACUGUAAGCCUCUCUAACUUGAGCAUGCAAUUUUUUUGAGAACAUGGGAAAAUGGAUAAAUGCGCGUUGCUUGUGUUGAUAAAGAAAAAGUUCAAUUGCUAGCUGCUAAGUAACAGGAACUAACUAUGGCUUAAGUGUCAAGAUCUAGAACUCAUGGUUGCUCAACCCAUUAUAGAUGUCAACUACUCUUUGCUAAUUUAUGCACUUCAAUAUUAAAAGGCUAAAAAUGCCCUUCACUUUGUAGAGUUGCCUUAAUGGCAAAGUUGUAUUUGAUCUCAAAAGUCCUUGCAAUCCCUGCAAUGUACUUUACCAGCUAUUGUUAGGCCUCCUAACACCUUUAAAUUUAAUGACUAGCUGAGCCAUUGGGUGGGUUACACAAUUAUGCCCUACUUCAUUUGUAACCAGGUAAAAAUUUUAAAAUUGUCAAGUUGUAUGUGGCAAAUUAUAGCUGUUGCAUAAUUCCUAAUCCUAGGAGCAAACAAUCUCAAGUUCCAACUUUAUCUUUUCAACUAUAGAGGUUCAUACUCUUCCUUGUGACAUCUAUCAAGGUAGAUAUGAAGUUAGUGACUUAGUAUGAUUUUAAUCAAUAUAACUUGAAAAAAUGUGGUGGAUUCUAAUCUAGUAUACCUUUUAUUUUAAAAUGUGUACUUGCAUGUAUUUCCAACUGCGUUCAUUUUUAUGUAAAUCAAAUCAAGUGAUUUUAAUAAUUUGGAUUUUUGGGUGUAGUCUGAAGCAGGUAAUGAAGAGUGGGAUGAUAGCUUACUGACCAAAGAGGAAGUAGAGGCAAGGUUGCAGAGGAAGGUGGAAGCAAUCAUCAAAAGAGAAAGAGCAAUGGCAUUUGCAUAUUCCCAUCAGGUACUCAUGAUGAGAACCUACUACACGUUCCAUUUAUGCUUUGCUAUUUUGAUUUCUUUGAAAGUAAAAGGAGAAUUAAUUCUCCAAACAAAAAUGGCAUUUUGUGCAUUACUUCUAUUAUUUUCUUUGUCCAAUUUUGAAUGGGAUCACGUAUUCUAUUAAUUGCUUAAUUCUUCAAAAGUAGCAUUUUAAAAGUAAACGCUUGUUUGGAAACUUCACAUUUGAGAUGAGAGUUGUAACCAUUAGUUUCUUAAAAUCACAUCCAAGACUUGGAACCAAAUACACUUAAGGACAGCAUAGUUGACUUUGUGUUUCCUUUGGAAUAAUAAAAUCUCUAAAUGUUAUAACUUUGUUGACUCUGCCAAACAGCUAUGGAAAGCCACUCCAAAAUCAAGUCACACCCCAGUGACAGAUGCACGAUCAGGUGGAUUUCCUUGGUGGUGGAACUGGUUGGAAAGACAAGCACCUGCAGCAGCAGCAACUCCACAAGAAAGACAAGUGCUGAAGAAUUUUCAACUCACACCUCCAAGACCAUACUCAGAGCAAAAGACUAGUCCAAGACCCGGAUCCAGCACUCAAAGACAACAGCAGUCUCAUUUUGCCUUUGAUAACAUGGACACUCCCACACCAAAGUCCACAAAAUCAACCAUAGUGACAUCUUCAAAACCGGUACGAACACCUCCAUAUAGAACUCCUCAGGCAAACAGUUCAGGCUCUGGGUCUAAAUAUCUGAGACCAAGGGGUGUGGGAGCCAAUAUACCUUUUGAUGUGCCACUGAAGGAUGAUGACAGUCUCACAAGCUGCCCACCAUUUUCAGUGCCAAACUACAUGGCUCCAACCCUCUCUGCCAAGGCCAAAGUACGUGCUAGUAGUAAUCCUAGAGAAAGGCUUGGUGGGACUCCAACAAGUACUGAUUCAAAGAGGAGACUCUCAUUCCCAUUGUCACAAGGAAUAGGGUCUUUCAAGUGGUCUAAAGGGUUCUCAAGCAAGGAUCAAAGGGUGCCAGAUAAAUUUCAGCCACUUGAAUCUAUAGGGAACGUGAGUGUGGAUUCAACAGUGUCUUUGCCCGCAAGGGUGGGAAGAAAGCCGUUUACAAGAUUUGUGUGAUUUUUUUUUGUUUUAUUCUUUUUUAACCAUUUUAUUUUGUCCAUGUUGGUGGUGUUAUCAGUUACAUUAUGAUUAUGAUUUGAGUGUAUUGGUGAUAGUUUGAUGACAGGUAUACCCGUUGUAAACUAAUAAAAACAUAGGAAACCGUGGUUUGGUAACUUUAAAUUUUCUUUUCUGGUUUCUCUUUUGUUGGGUGCAGCUGAAAUCAAACUACAAAGAGACUAUAAUUAAAUACUAUUAACAAAAAAACAGGUUUAGAGCAUCUGCAAGAAGAGGCUGAUUGAAGAUCCAACGGACGAGAAGCAAUCCUAUUUGAAACUCUCCUCGCUAGCAUUCAAUUUCUUGGACCUAGAAUUUCAUCUACUUCUUUCAAUUUAUUUGUAUCAAGCAUUCCUAACUGAUGAUGAAUACAAAAAGUCAUAUGAGUCUUCUUUUUUAUCCAUGUAGGAAUUUAACAUGUGUGUCAGACUUACAUUAACUCAUACAUUUUGUUCAACUCACUGAACUAGACUCUUGAUAUAAAUGUCCAUUUAUAUGCAAACUUGCAUGUUGAUCUAUUCAAAGACAUUAAUAUAUUCCAAUUUUUAUUUGUUUUUUUUAGUAUAAUAAUAUUAAUGGAAAAAGAUAAUGUUGGAACAUCAUUGGUAGAAGCCAAAAGCACCUCUUGGGAGAAAUAGAUGCAGCCAAAUCGUAUUAGGUAAGCAACAGAGAUAAAAGAUGCUAAUACAUGUGGAGACACAUUAACAGUGUUCACAUGGGCUAAGGAAAAAUUUCAACAAAGUGGUUCAAGUCUCUGCAGUGAAAGACAAUGAGUGAUAAGUCUGGACCACUGUGGACAGUCCUGAAGCGGUUAACUAGACAGGAUUCAGAUUCGAUAUCAAGAAAGGUUGUGAAGUGCUGAAUCAUAAGGUUCAUAGCAAAGGUGGUUUGCGUAAUAAAAGGAGGCAGGGACAACAAUUUUUAAAAAGAGAAGAUUAACAAACCCUCCAAAAACUCAAGAACGAAUUACAUUUGACAAUCUCUGCAGUGCAGAAAGUCCCUUUAUCAUUUCCCUUAAGAGCUGCAGUAGCACAAAAGAAUCCAGAAGCUGAUAAAGAGUUGCUGGAUGCUAUAAAACAGAUUCCAAAGUAUGAAAUUAAAUGCUUUAUUGGAUCUUGGAACGUCUAUAGAUGUAAUGUGAUCAAUAGUUUACAAAGCACUUAAUCUGGGAGAUUUAAAACCCACAAAUGUGAUAGUACAACUUGCAAACAAAAGCAGUGCUCAACCUUUGAAGAUGUCUUGUAGAAGGUUAACUAGUUGAUUUUUCCAGCUGAUUUUUACAUUCUGGAUAUGCAAGAAGAAAGCUCCACACAAAGUCAACACUAAUUCUAGGAAGAGUAUUCUUAGUGACUGCGAAAAUGAAGAUCGAUGUUUACAGAGGCACAAUAUCUUUAGAAUUUGGGGAUGAUUUAAUUCAGUCCAGUGAAAAAAUAUUGAUUAUGAUGAAGCCGGUUGCACUUGAGAUGAUUAUUCAUGUGUUGUAUGAACAAAAAUUAAUGUUGUUUUAAAUAUCAAUCCUAAUCAUCUGAUAACUUUCCAUCAUCAGAAACCCAUAUAAUCUUUUGAGAUUGAACAAAUAUAAAAGUCAAACACUAUUAUUUAGGUGAAUUCAUCAUAAAAGGAAAAUGAUGGUUUGACACCCAUUACUCCACUUUACAUCCCACUAAAUAUUAAUAUUUUAAUUAUUUUUAAUUUUAAAAAUUAUUUUAACAUUUUAUAUUUUGUCUAAUAUUUCAGACAUUUUCUUCGCAAAAUGAGUCCCCUUUAGAGCAGCUUGGGAUCUUUUCGUUUCAGUUUUGGUUGUGAAGAAAAAGGAUGAGAGAGAAAAGGUUUGGGGUGCUGACAGUGAUAAUGGGGGUUGGAGAGAAAAAGAGUGAAAGUGGGCUAAGAGGUGCAGUGAGUAAGAAUAUGGGUGUGAGAUGGAAAAUAGUUAAGGUGGGCUAAGAGGGACAAUAAUGAAGGUGGGCUGAGAGGUAAAAAAGAAAAAUAGAGGUGUGAAGAAGGUAAAAAAGUUCUCCUCAACAUUGCAUGCAAGGAUUACUCCUUUCCUGUACCAACUACAUCAUAUCUAGCAACACAUAAAGCUUUGUCAAAUCACGAUUUUUCAUUAAAAAGUUACAUAUAACUUUUUAAAAAUUAACUUUUAAUUAUCAAAAUACAAUUUAAAUAAACUAUAAGAAAUUAUACUUAAUUUAUGUAACUACAUUUUACAUUAUAUAAAAUUGUAGAAUUUGAAAAUAUAAUAAAGAUUUUAAAGAUAUUUAAAUAAUGAUUAUUUAAUUUUAAUAUUUUAAUAAAAGCAAUCAUUUAAAUUUCUGUGUCCCAAAUCCCAAUGAUUAUAAAUAUAAUACUAAAAUAAUAUGUUAAAUAAAAGAUAUUAUAUAAAUUAGUAUUAACAAAAUUAUACAGUAUUUAUAGUUUAUUUAUAUAAGUUACUUUCUCUUAAAAUUAUAUAAAUUUUAUAAAACUAAUAUUAUGAUUGUUUUAUAUAUUAAAUAAUAAAAUUUUAAUUUUAAAUAUUUUAUUACCAAUAUAAUUUAGCUCUACGUGUCAAAAUAUAUAAUUACUCUAUCUUAUUAAAUUUAAUUCGCCUUUUUUUAUAUAUACUACAACGAAACAAGUUAACGGUUUCAUAUUAAAUUAGCAUAAUAAAUAAUAAGUUAUGAUAAUAUAAAAUAAUUAUUCUAUCCUAUUUCCAUUUUGAAAGGAAAAAAAAAAUUGAGAGACUAUAAGGUGAUUUUCACUAAAGAUGAAUGCAAAUUCAAAUUUGCAUCUUAGGUCAAAUAGAUUUUUUUAGAUCAUAAAUGUUAACCAUUCAAAAUUGUGUAACCGUCCAAUAAAAAUCUUGGCAAAUAAGUCUAUUCCCAAUGAAACGUGUUAUUAUAAUAUUAUUAUAAUAAAAACAUUGCUUUGAAUUUAGUAUAAUGUUUUUCAUGCGCUACUAAUUAACUUUAUAUAAAUUAAUGUCACUUUUUUCUUUUUCUUCUUCAUUAAAAGUAAUGCCCACCACAUCACUUGUGUUUUAUAAUGACUAUAUUGACACGUCAUUAAAACAGUGACAACAUAUCAUAAAGUUUUUUGCACUAUUAACAAAUUAUGAAUUAGUAUAAGGCAUAUUUUCCAAAGCAAGUAUUACGAAGCUAUAAAAAAGUGAAUAUUAGAAAAACUAAUAAUAUUACCAUUAUAAUAUAUGGUUGAAUAAAUGUGUAAAAAGAAUAUCAUAAUUAACUUUAAAGUCAAAGUUAUAAAUAUAUUUUGAGUAUAAUUUUUAAAAAAUAAUACAAAAUCUCUACUUCAAUAUUUUUUUUAUAAAACUCAAUUAACUAAUUUAUUGCAAUUAAAGAAAUUACUCACGAGAAAAAAAAUUAAAGAAAUAAGAUUGUCUAUUAUUUUGUCCAAACCUCUGCAGAGGAAUUCAAAAUUUCAUAAUGAUAUUUUUAUUCAUGUGCUCUUUUAGAAGAUGUUUAUGAAUAGAAUGAUUUGCUACAAAGAAAAAAGAACUUGUUGCCUCCUGAAAAUUCCGGUCUUUUAGAAGGAUUCUUUUGUCUCAAAUUUGCAACUAAUGUAACAAGUCUUAAAUUAGUUGAUGCCAAACAAGUUACUUGUAAGUAUGUUUCUCAAUAUUUAGUUUUGCAAAAUUGUUUUGGAUCUCUUUCGGGUGAACAAGAGACCCAAGAGUCAUGUCCGACCAUCUUGCUUGCAGAUACAGUUGAAUUUACACCGAUUGCUAUUUUCUUAAAAAAAAAAAUUGGUCUCUAAGUUCUAGAUUGAAAAGAUGGAAAAUGAAGAACCAUUGAGUGAAAACGAUGAAUUAGUUCAAACCUCUCAUGAGACCGAGACGUCCUCCUACAAUUGGAGUGAAAUUCAAUAAAAUUACCUCCAAAACAGGUUAACCCAAUAAAAAGUAAUGAUAGUGACCUGCAAUGAUAUCGUAAGAUUUUAUUAAUUUUGUUGAAUGCAAAUGAGAGUUCAUUUGAUUGAAUUUUUUAGAUAUUGUUGUGUUUUUUUUUAAUCUUUUUUUGGAGCUACACAUUAAAGAAUGUUUCAUUAUUUAUCUUUUUGUCUUUAUUUUUUUUAUUUAAACUAUCGUAGAUACUUAGAUUGAUUUUUGUUUUUUUUGAAUGAGUUUAUCUAUUUUUUUUUAGUUUUAUGUAUCAUUCAUGUGUGAUGUAUGGGACUUAACAUGAAUUUUAUUAAAAAAAAUAUGUGAAUUUAGUUUAUAGUAUUAAAUUUCUGUUAUCCUUAAUAAAACUUUAUAAAUAUUAAUGGCUAGUGUUCAAAUUGCUAACUUGUCAAUACAAUUUGUUAAGGUACUUUUGUAGAACAAUUAAUACGUAUGAAAUAUCUUGAAUCAAUUCUACAAAAAUCACAUAGCACAGCAUUUAAUCUUACAGAAAAAAUAGAGAAAGAAUACCCAAAAUAAUGGGUCUACCUAACCUUAGAGUAUUUUUAUAUUAAUCUAGAAACAUAAUAAAAAAAUUAUAAAAUAUUUAUCACCGUCUCAAUAAUUUUUAACAUUGAUUACCACAUGCCAUAGUAAUUGUGUUAUCAUUACUCAUCCCAUGAGUAGUUAGAUAAACAAUUAUUUUUUAAUAAAAAUAUUUAUAAAAAUAUGUAUUUUUUCUAAACUAAAAUUAGUUGAUGCAAAAGUUAAUUUUAUAAUUUUUUGUUUUAAAAUUGUGUAUAGUUAAUUUUAGUUUAUAUAUUUAUAGGGAAAGGUAAAAUGGUGUAGAUGGUAGUUAUGAUUUGACGUAUAAUUAUUGAUGUGUUUCUUCCUUAAAUAAAUGUAAAUGUUUUAUAAGAUUUCUUAUUAUCAUUCAGUUAUUAACUAAUUUAUUGGAAAUAUUUUUUCAUAUUUCAAAAUAUUAUGAAAUAUUAUUAUGACUCACUAUUAUAUAUUUUAUAAUAUUUUUAUCCAAUCAGUUGAUAUUAGUUCGUCCGAUCCGACCGAUACAAUUAAAAAAAAUAGCUUUUGUUUUUGUUUUUUUAAAAUUUGGAGGUGAGAAGUGAUUUGCAUGCAUUGGUGAAAUGUGUAUAUAAUGUGUUGGGUAUUGCUAAAUAGAGAGUUCCUAGGAGUUGUAGGUAGAUUGGUAGGAAGAGUGAUGAUUUUGAAGUUUGAAGAACAUUGAUGUUAACGAAAGGCCAAAUAAUUAAUGCAUAGCUUGACUCUGCCCAACACCUUUUUCUCUCACCCAUCACACAUCAACUAUUUUUCCUCAAGUGGGACCCAUCCGAAAGAGUGCCUAUUUUUCACAUCAUAUUUCACUCUCAAAUUACUUCUUCUAACACUUAUUGUAAAACUACUUCUUUACGAAUUUAAAUACUAAGAAUACGAAUUUCCUCAAAAUAAUAUAUUACACUAUACAUCCCGAAACUAAAGAAAAUAAAAAUCAUUCUAAAAUAACUAAAUUCUACUUUUUCGAACCUCUUUCCUGUCACAUGAAAUAUAAUUUCUUUUCAUAAUUAUCAUAUCAAUUUACAUCACACACAAACUAAUUAUUUAAACAACCAUAAUGAUAUAUAAUACAGCAUAUGUAUAUUUAGAUCACAAAUCACGUUUUUCUAGAAGUUAUACUUGAAUUUCUUCUAUGUUAAGGAACAAUUAGUUGCAAGUAUACACAUUUGUUGAUCACCUUAAAUUUUGAUUAUAAUAAAUAAUAUAUAUAUAUAUAUAAAUAUAAAUAUAAAGACAACCAUCAAACAAUCAAAGAAUACAAAAUGUCAGAAAUUUCAUAAGUAAUUAUCAACAACUUAAGUUUCAACGUCAUACAAAAUUAAAUGUGAAAUAAUGAUUAAGAAUGGAAGCAAGACAACUUAAGUUUUGACAUCAAACAAAAUUAAAUGUCAAAUAAUAACUAAGAAUAAUAGAAGCAUGAAUUGUAAGAUGAUUAAGAUAUUGGAAAACGAUUUUAAUAGUAUACUAGACGUCCAAGAAAAUCAUCUAUAAGUUUGAAAUAUUAGAUUCAUUAACUUCAAACAUGAUCUUAACAUGUGUACAACCUACUUCUUAAAUAAUGUAUAAUCAUUUUAGUACGGUCAAUACGAUCAACGUAAUUGCUUAAAUAAAAUAUGUCAUUUUACUCGAUAAAAAAAAGUAUAACUGUGAAUUGUCAACCAAAAGUCAAACAUACAUUUUAAAAAACUUUAACACCAAGGAUAACACACAAGUACUAAGCCACAUCUUUUUUUGGAAUGCCUAUAAAUUGAGACUCAUUAUGCACAUGAAAACUUGAUGGAACAUUCAUGAAAAACUCAUACAUGCAAACAAAAUUUCCAAUUAAGAUAUCAGAUGGUAAGUGUUUCAUCUGAUAAACUUACACAUACACAAAAUUGAAUUGAGCAUAUUUGUUGCAACAAAUUGACUUAAUGAAAUGUAUUUUCUAAACGAUUUUCAACUAGUUACAUUUGAUGAAAUACAAAUUAUGUAACCUCAACACUUUAUAACCUAUUUGGUUAAGCAGACAUAUUUGGAAAUUUAUUUUAAAUGCAACCCUUUUGUCUGAGAGGUGACAUUAGACACAAUUUUUACAACUCAAUUGAAUCACUUGAUUAAUGUAUUUUUUAAUUAAUUUGAAAAGUGAGCAAAUCAAAGUUAUUGUGUUUGACCAACCACUUAUUUAAAUACUUUCUCUAAAACCACUUUCAAGAAAACAUAUUUAGUACGUAAUCUCACACUAACUCUCCUUCUUGCAUAAUAAUAGAUGAUGAUAACAUAUAAUGUAAACAAGAUAAGAAAGAAAAUAUACACAUUCAUUUAUAUUAGUUUGUCUGUCGCAACAUACUACAUCAAAUUAUUGACCAACAAGCCAAAUUCAAUUAAGUAGACUACUACUGCGAAGUUCACUCGAGUAUUCUUUGGACUCGUAAUCACUCAUAGCUAAUCCAUUGAGUAUUCUUGACACAAGUCACUCCUGACUCAACUAAGUAUUUGAUGGGGUGAUUUCUCAACAAGUGGACCAAGUCAACUGUAGUACAAUUGAUAAGAAGGGUUGUCGUAUCCACAAGAACUAGUUGUUGGACAUCUUAGGAUAUUUGUCCAAUUAGUGUUUGAUGAAGUCUAGCUUAGUUUUGUCUUGUGCCUACAUUUUAUCUUUUUCAAAAUGAGAUGAUGGAUCCAAGAUAAAAAUUUUAAAAUUGUUAAAAUGCUUUUGAAAAUGGUUUAUGGAAGUUAAAUUUUUUCUUUGUAAAUAUCUUUUGGUAAGUUACUUACAAAUGCAUUGUUUUUCAAGUUCACUUAUCCUUAUUGCCAAACCAAGUUAACUCUUUAAUCAUGGUUAUUUAGAACAACAAACUAUCAUAAUCAAUUUCUUAACUUACAAUAGCUCGCUUCUGCAUUAAGAUGGAUCAGUUCAAUAAAAACAUUCAAUUUCAUUCCCAGACAUUGAAUUAUUUGGAUAAUUUGAAAGAGUUAAAAAAAAUGAAAGUGUUUCGCAACAUCAUUCAAGUUCUAUAGGCAAGAGCGGUGAUUUCUUGCAUAUUAAGCAUUAAGCAUAAAAUAAAAUUAAAGGAACUAAAAUGAAAAGGCAUUCAUAAAUAACAAAGUUCAUACAUUGCUCUUUGGACUUUAUCUACACAUGAUGAAGUUUACAAGAAAAACUAAUGAAUGAAUAACUAACAACUAGAGACAUUAAGUCUUAGAAGUUGCAUACCCACUAAGAUUGUUUCUUUUACGCCUUCUUCCUUGUUUAUAAUUGUUUAUAAAGUUGAGUGGUAAAUUAAUAAUUAUUCUUGAGAUAAGAAAAUUGAUUUAAGCUCUCUAUUACUCCAAAAUUCAUUCAUCACCUAAACAAUCAUCAUUCUCCUAUUGCUCAAAGCUCGUACUAAUGCUUUAUUCAUUAAAUCUAUCUCCAACCUUUCUUUAAUAAAUUUACAUAAUUAUCUUUAUCUCUAACUUUACUUUAAUUAAUUAUUAUUAUUUACUCUAUCGUUAUACAAAUUCCAAAUUCUUCUUUUAAUCUUUAUUCUUAUUUGACUUUUAAAACAUUGUCUUUAUUUUUGUUUUUAAACAAUAAAAUCCUAUAAUUCAUUUUCCGAAUUAAAUAAUUAUAUAGCUUAAUAAAUAAUAAAUAAAUACUUUAUGUGAUUUAAAUAAUAAGUUAAAGUAGGUACCUAGGGUUCUGUCCAUUUAUUAUAUACAGCAAUUUGGUAUGUUUACUGAACAACCGUCAACUAGAUUUUUCACUUGGUACUUAGGAAUAUAUUUCACAAUACAACAAAUUACUUCUCAAGCUCUAAUCUUAAAGAGAAUUUAGAAAAUAUACUUUUAAAUUAUUUCUAUUAAAUAAAUAAUAAAUAUUUAUAACCUAUAGAUGCUCUAUUCUUUAUCUAUUUUAAAUUAUAUUAACUAUAUCUCUAAAGAAUAUUCCAGGUCUUACAAAAGCCUGGACACAUGUGUUGCUAUUAAUUAUGAUAAAGUGAAUACUAUUUAUGUUUCCUUUUUCACUAUAAUUUAAAAAAAAAUUAUUUUUCACUCUAAUAUACUAUAUAUAUAUUAUUGAUAUUUAAAAUUUGUAAAGUAUAAAGUAUAACCUUUAACAACACAUAAAAAGAUAUGGAAGGAGUAAUUAUUCUUAUAAACAGUAUUUAUUGUUAUGCUCCCUCUAUCCAAAAGCGAAUCAGCAAAAAAAAAAAUUGUUAUUCCCUCUCAAUUCCUUUUUAAUGAUUAGACUUUUAAAAUAUUUUUAUUUCUAUUUAAUUUUCAUUUUUAAAUUCAAUACAAUACUAAUUAUUCUUUUAUCCAUUUAUAUUCUUGUUUUUCAUAUAAUUUUUAAUAUAUAUAUACACAUAUUUACAUAAAAAAGUAAAAUAAAAAAAUCUUAUAACUAUUUUAUUAAGAUUAACAAAAUUUAUUACUUUCUUACUUUUUCUAAAUAAACCUUAAACAACCUUAAAAAGAGACAAAGUAAAUAUUUUAUUACAUUUUUUUCACUAUUUUUCUUAUUAAAAAUCUUAAAUGUGUGAAAUUUCAUCAAGUUUAUACAGUAAGCAAAAAAAAUGUUCAUGUUAAUUAUAAAUGCUAGUUACGUUUAUUUAAUUUUCAUUUUAUCAAAAAAAUAUUUUAAAUUAUUAUUAACCAUGUUUAUUAGAGAUUAUUUUUGAGUUUAAAUUUAAGGAUAUUUUAAAAAUAUUAAAAUUAAAUGUUAUUGAAUUAAUUUAAACUAGUUUAUAUUUGAAAUGAUUAAACAUGUUUUUUUAAUGUUUAUAUUUGCGUUUAGAGGGAGUAUUAUUUUUCUUGCUUCAAAAGGAAAUAUUUUUCUGAUGCAUUAAUAUUUACAAGUUAAAUAUAAAAAUAAUUGAAUAUGACAUCAUAUUCCGUGUCAAAAUUCAAAUAUUGAAAUAAUAAAAUUGAUUUUAAAAGUUUAAUGAAUCUGGUUGCAACAUUUAUAUUAUAAGACUUUUUUUUUCCUAGGUGUUGUACCAUCAACAUUGUGUGUGAUAAGACAUUUUGCAGUUGAGGUGCAAUACAAUCAAAUACCAAAAUAUUUUAAGAGCUUAAUAAACUAAUUAAUACAUAUUAAUUGUUAUACUAACAGUUUUCAUAAUACAAGGAUAAGGUAUUGUUAAUCUCAGUUUAUUUUUGCUGAUCUGAAAGUUUAUUUUACAGCAGUAGUUAACCUAAUACAACAAAACUUUCAGCUAACUUAUAUUGUUUAAUUAAUUAUAAAUUAAAUCAAAUACUUAAAUAUAUUUUCCAUCCUUAUAAUACAUGUUUAAUGCUUUUAGUUUUUUUAGUUUUUGUCUUUAAAAAAAUUAUUUUACUGUUUAGAGUCCUAUGUCAAUUAUUUAUUGGAAAACAAGUAUGGUGUUCUUAAAUAAUCAAAUAUCCGUAAAAGGACCAGUAUCAAGACAUUCUAAUUUUAUAAUUUUUGUAGAAAUAUUGUCAAUAAUAAUAUAAGAAUUAUUAUUUUUAUAUAAAGUAUUAGCAUAAAACAAGUAUAUUACAGUAUAUUAAGUGAUAUGAUUACUACUAGGUCAAUAAAACGAGAUGAAUAACAAAUAAUUAAAUUUUUUAAAAAGUAUGUCAAAAAAAAUUAAAGAAAUAGAAAUGUAUUUUUUUUUAUAAAUUUUGCAAAGUAUAAAAAACUAAAAUUAUAAUUAAGCUAAAAAAAAUUAAGAAUUUAUGUUGCGGUACUCAAAGACACUAUUUUUUUUCCAUGUUUUAAGAUUUUAGUAAGACUAAUCUGACUGAAUUAAAAGAUAAGUACAUUCUAAUCAAACAUUGAUAUUCUCCUAAAAUUUUAAUUUUGGAUUCAACUCAUUAACUAAUUCUUAACUCUUUAAUAGCUAAGAAGCUAUUAUAAUAAAAAAAUUAUUAACUAUAUUCCUUUCCCCGAAUAUAAUUCAGGAAGGUUAGUAACUAAAAAAAAUGUGUGGAAUUUAUUAAAUAAAAACUGGACCAAUAAAAUUGAUAUUUUUCAAUAUAUUUCAAUUAAUAAUAUAAAAUUUAAAAAAUAAUAUACUAAAGAUAUUAUUAAUUGUUUUUACUAACAUAGUGUGCAAACAUGAUUUGUAUCAAACCCCACGUGGACGUCCAAAUUUGUUCAGUAAAAACCUAGAAAGAAUAUUCUGUUUAUGAGAAGUUGCUUAUCUAACAUUUUUUUGGGACCUUGCUCCUCUUUUGAAAGAAAAACUGAUUUGUUUUAACUUUACCUUUAAAACUCAUUGUUUGUUAGAUAGAAUUAGUUAAAGAGGGAGAGAAAGGGUAAAAGGGUAAUUAGAAGGGAGGAAGAGAAAAAAGACGAAUGUAUCCCUGAAUUGAUCUGCCUGAAGGAUCCAUUAAGUGGUUGUCCUCCUUCUUGCCCCUUUCACUCGCUACUUUCCUCCUUUGCUGCCUCACAUCACUCUUCUUCUUCUCUUUGCUUCAUUCGUUGCUGCUUCGUUCUUCUCACACAAUUUCUGAGUAAUCUUCAUCUUCAUCUUCCAACAAGAAUGGCUCUCAGACUCAAUCCUCUUCCGACCCAAUCCUUCGCCCUUCCUCAGAUGGCCAGCCUCAGAUCUCCCAAGUUCCGCAUGGCUUCUACUCUCCGCUCCGGUUCCAAGUCAGUUCUCCAACUCUCAGAUCUUCUUCUCUUAACUCAAAUCAUGCAUUCCUCCUUCUUUUCACUUCCUUCAUUUCGCUCUUUCUUUUUCUUCUCUGCUUUUCCUAUCUCUAUAAUGCCUCAAACCAAACCUAACACACCUUCUAUUGUUUUUUCAUCUUUCUUUUCUAAUUCCACCUUUUCAUAUUCAUUAUUCGUUGCCCCCAUUCCCCAUGUUUCGUUUCCUACUCUCAUGCUUGUGCUGCUUCCAUUUCAUUCAACACGGCUUCGUCAGGAUUGGAAAUGGAUUCUUAUUUCGUGCAGAACUUUGUUUCGGCCUACCACAAUACCCACCACUUUUGAUCUAUUUCUGUCUCGUCAUAUGAUUCUGUUGUUACCCGUUCCUGAUUUUUUUUUUUUUUUUUUUUUGGUUUAAGAAAAAAAUUGCAUGGUUCUUCUUCUGUUAAACCAUUUUGCACUUAUUUUUUUUGCCUUCCCUGUCGGAAUUGUUAACUUUCGUUUAUUGUUUUGUAAGGGAAGUACGAUUACUAAAUUUUUGGGUUCGUUAAUUGUUGGGAUUUUUCUUUUUUCUUUUUCUUCAGUUUCGAGUUGAGUAUGUGUAAACUCAACCACGGAUAGUGGAGCUUGUUGUGUCUUCGUUACCUUCUGCUUGAUUUGAUAUGUGGUCUCUGCUCUUUAGCCUUUACUUUAUGCGUAUGUUAGUUUGAUUGAUGAUUGUUGCCAAUAUGAUUCUCUUGUUGGGGGUGAAUUGAAAAGUGUGGUAACAGUUCGAAAUUGUUAAUGGCUGCUCCAAAACUUUGUGUUGCCGGUUGGUUGGGUUUUUUGGACGAAAAUUUGAAUAGCCUUGGUAUGAUGUAGGCACGUUCGGUGAAACUGUCCAUUUAUGACUUUGUUUGGUGUUUGUGUUGAUCGUGAUGCAUGUGCGCUUCAUAUUGUGAGCCAUGCACAUGCUAGGUGUGGGUACUAAUUGGGUAUGCUCAGGUACAUAACAGGUGAUGCAUAAUAAUGUUUUUAAACAAAAAAAUGGGUGUCCAAUGCGGCCACUGCAGUGAUGUGAUCAUGUGACUAGAUUUAACUCGGGUAUCAACUGGUCCUACUUUAUUUGCCAAAAUUGAACCUUUUUCCCCAAAUUGAAGUUACGAUCCCCACCAUUCAUCCUUACUCUAGACCUGUUAAUUGUGAGUGUAGUGUCUCCAUUUUGUUGCAUAGACAUGGGCAUCUGUCUUGAUGCAUCGAAACUGAUUUACUGUUUGUAGGACACUUUGCAAACUGCCCAUUCUGUAAAAUAGUCAUUUUUAUUCUAUUGGAUAUUGAUGUCCAUGAAAUGAUAUAGGCCUGUAUAUGUGCGGGUUGUAUACGAUUGUGGUUGUUAUUAACGAUACUGUUCACUUUGGAGAUCAAAUUUACCAGCAUGAUCAUUUCAGAAGUUGCUGUAUUAUUUCUCUAAAAGUCAUUUGAAUUUUUGUAGAGAGGUUGAAAAUAUUAAGAAGCCUUUCACGCCUCCGAGAGAAGUGCAUGUUCAAGUAACCCAUUCUAUGCCUCCCCAGAAGAUUGAGAUUUUCAAAUCGUUGGAGGAUUGGGCUGACCAGAACAUCUUGACUCUUCUUAAACCUGUAGAAAAAUGUUGGCAACCACAGGAUUUUUUACCAGAUCCUUCUGCAGAUGGAUUUGACGAGCAAGUGAAGGAACUGAGAGAGAGAGCAAAGGAGCUUCCAGAUGAUUACUUUGUUGUUCUGGUUGGAGACAUGAUCACAGAGGAAGCCCUUCCUACUUACCAAACAAUGUUAAAUACAUUGGAUGGAGUUCGUGAUGAAACAGGCGCUAGCCUUACUUCCUGGGCAGUCUGGACAAGGGCAUGGACUGCUGAAGAAAAUCGACAUGGUGAUCUUCUUAACAAGUAUCUUUACUUAUGUGGACGAGUUGACAUGAGACAAAUUGAGAAGACAAUUCAGUACCUGAUUGGAUCUGGAAUGGUAAGAUCUUAUACAUCUUCCGUAGUCUAUCAUGGCCUUCAGCGAUUGUAGUUCUCAUAAUGAAACAUACUCAUACUUGCCGUUUAACAGAUACUACUGUUGGGCGGGGGGUUGCCGGUUGAAUAAGUGCCUGAAAUAUAAAUUUUAUUAUCUAAUGCAUCCAGAUGUAUUAAUGUCUUUCUGUCUGCAAAAAUCAUAACACGAAUGCCUUUGAACUAUCAUAUGAUCUACCUUGUCAAAAUCAAUGUUUAGAUUAAUAGAGUAGGAUUCAACUUUCUUGAAAUUCCUCAUGAGCUUGUUUGGAUAAAUUUUUCUACUAGUACUUUUAGGAGUAGAAAAAAUGAAUAAGUUUCUCUAUAAGCCAAAAUUAGCUUAUGCAUAAGUUAAAAAAUCAUCUUUUAGAGAAGCUAAUAGUAGAGUAGAUAACUUCUACAUAAUAACUAAUGCAUAAGCUAUUUUUUAGCUAUGAAGAAACGCAUUUUAUUUUAUUUUUCUUAUAGAAAUGUUUGUGAAGAAGUUUAUGCAAGCAGAUCGUACAUGACAUACAGCAUUAUGUUGCUCUGAGGUCAUAAAACUAAUUGACUUUUCAUAGCUUCGCUUCUCACUUUUCUAGUAUUGUCCUUCCUUGACUGAUUGAUAUUGAUGGAUAGGAUCCUCGCACUGAGAACAGUCCCUACCUUGGUUUCAUUUACACUUCAUUUCAAGAGCGGGCAACCUUCAUAUCCCAUGGAAACACAGCCAGGCUUGCUAAGGAGCAUGGUGAUAUAAAGUUGGCCCAGAUCUGCGGCAUGAUUGCCUCGGAUGAGAAACGCCAUGAGACUGCAUACACAAAGAUAGUGGAAAAGCUGUUUGAGGUUGAUCCUGAUGGAACUGUUAUGGCGUUUGCAGACAUGAUGAGGAAGAAAAUUGCCAUGCCAGCACACCUUAUGUAUGAUGGCCAUGAUGACAACCUCUUCGAUAACUACUCUGCAGUGGCCCAGCGCAUUGGGGUCUACACUGCCAAGGACUAUGCUGAUAUACUUGAAUUUCUGGUGGGGAGGUGGAAGGUGGAGAAUCUAACAGGACUAUCAGGUGAGGGAAGGAAGGCUCAGGAUUACGUUUGUGGGCUGCCACCAAGAAUCAGAAGGUUAGAGGAGAGAGCUCAAGCAAGAGUCAAGGAGUCAUCAAAAAUUCGGUUCAGUUGGAUUCAUGACAGGGAAGUACUACUCUAAACGCACCAAGGAAGCAUCGUGAAUGUUCCUGCAAAACCGUUCUGAGAGAUGUUGAAUAGUUGAAAAUGCAGUUUGUCAAUUUUUUUCUUCUCUUUUUUUGGUCUGCUAUAUGUCACUGUAAGGUGAAACAGUUGUUCUUGCAUGGUUCGCAAGUUACGCAGUUAGGGGCAACUGUAGUAUUAGAAAUGCUAUUUUUUGUUUCCCUUUUAUUUGUGGUAGUGAUGUCUGUUGAAGCAUAAGCAAAACGUUUUUCUCUGGCAAUUUUGAUGAUAAAGAAAAUUUAGUUCAUCUGUGGUUGGAUAUAUUUCCACAUAGUAGAAGUUGGUUUGAUGAUGGUGUGUAGCGACCAUUUUUUGCUUAUUUGCCAUUUUGCAAUAGGAUAACCGAGACAUGCACUAACCAGAUUAAUUUUCACUACGGCUACUAGGCAAUCUUCUUGCGUGUGAUUCUGUCAAAUUACAUGUAAUUUUGGUGGGAUAUAUGAUUUGUUAGUAUACUCAUAUUUGCAUACGCAACGUUAAUGCGAGAAGCUUGCAAACAAAAGUUGUGUUUUAUAUUCUAACUUAUGUGCUUUAGGUUAACUUUUUAUAUGCUUAAAAAUAGUCUAAAGAUCUUUUUCCUUGGUCAUAAUACUUUCUCUACAGUGAACUUCGCACAUCAACAUAUUCAUUUUGAUGAGGGGGAUAGAUGAUAUAAUUAUGAUAUAAUUAGGGUUUGUGGUUUAUAAAUUAUUGUUGGGGUUUAGGGUAUAACUUUUUAUAUUCAAGUAUUUUGAUUUUAAAUAUAUAUUAUCUUUAAGACUAAUUAUCAUGAUAAAAUUAAGAAAAAACUUAUUCGACAAUCUAAAAGUUUGGUUCGAACAUGUUGUAGCACCCAAAUUUAGGAGAAGAUUGGGGUUUAGGUAAUCUAAAUUAUCGUUAUAGGUAUUUUAAUUAUUUUAAUUCAGGUACUUUGUAUUCUAAUGUCUUUCUUAAAUUAGAGAUAAAUUUUGAUGAACUUUGUAUUCAAAUUCUUAUAUAUAUAUAUAUAUAUAUAUAUUAGUUUUUAACUAAGCAUUUAAUUUUAAAUAUUAGUUUGCGAAUAAGUGAAAAAUAUUCCUACCCUUCCACAGAAAAAUAAAUGAGUGUAAUAUUUGACAAUAAUAUUAUUAAUUGCGAUGAAGCAGGUACAAAAUUAUAGGUGUUUGGCAAAUCAACUUACCAGUCAAUGGCAUGCCAAUUGGUGGAUAUGAAUGCAACAGCAGAAAGAAGAUUUUUUUGAAAAGUAACAUUAAAAUACUUUUUAAUUUUUAGAUAAUUGGUUUAUUUAUUCCAACAUGUAUAAUCUUCACGAUCUCAACGAACACAUAUUUCAACAGUUAAUUCAUAAUAGUGAUUGGGUCUCUGGUGCCUUUAAGUUACACCGUGCUGCUUCACUUCCUUUCCUUCACAAUUUUUCAGGAUAACUCAUUCAAAUGGCUGUUACACAGCAUUCAAGGAAGGCUUUUGGAUGGGCAGCUAGAGACACAUCUGGGGUUCUCUCCCCCUUCAUCUUCACCAGAAGGUUCUCAUUUCAACUUCUUCAAUUCCUCAACUUCAAAAAUGUUUCAUGCUUCUCAUGUUCUAUUUUCUAAUGGGUGUGGAAACAGGAGAGAAAGAUGUAGCAAUCAAAGUGUUAUUCUGCGGUAUAUGCCACACCGACCUCCAUAAUGCAAAGAGUCAAUGGGGCCAAUCCUUUUAUCCACUCUUACCCGGGUAUGCUUCCUCCACUUUUUGAAGUCUAUUGAACAAGCUUCAAACACAAAAUAUUGUCUUCACUUUUGCCUUUUAUUUCUGAAACAAGAAAGAGUUCUGUAAAUCUAUUGAAAUAAAUAAUUCACAGUAUGAUUUGAAAAGAUGAAAAAGAAAUGUUAAUUAUAUUGUUUUCUAAUUUAAGUCAUAAGAUUAUGACUCGAAAAAUAUUCCUACAAAGUUAGGACUUCGUAGCACACUUUCUUUUGUCGUAAUCUUCUCGUCUUCUCAGUUUGUCAGUUGGGUUUUCUGUCUUGGUGUCUUCCUUCGGUUUCCGAGUGCAAAGAAGGAUACCUGCAAAGACACUCCAACGAUUAAGUCAGUCUGAAAGCUAAGUACCACGAGAGUAAGGAGUGAAUAGUUACCUUAGAUGUUGUGGUUGUCUUCCUAUUUAUACUGUUAUGGAUGGUCCCUAACUGUCUUGGACCUGCUUGGGGUCCAGUUGGAGGCCCAAUUGUGCCUUAACCAUACUUUGCAUCUAAGUUGGCUUAUUUGUGUCUAAUCAUGUGUUUAAUUGUAAUUCUUGUCGGUUUCUCGGCCAUCCGGUAGCACAUAUGCUUCAGGCUCGAAUGCAGUCAUAACGUAACGCAGAGUCUUAAGUGCGCUUCGGAAAAUGUUUUAGGCCGCUACGUUGAAUAGCCGGUAGUUGAUGUGAGUGCUAGACCUUGUGGCCUGCCGUUUGGCGAACCAUAUCUUUUUCAUGGGGCGAGUAAGGUGUGGCUAUUGUACUUGGGGUGCGUGAGGUUUCGUGACGUGAGAGAGAGAGAGAAACGAGGGUUGAUCUGCACCGUUGAUUGGAGGUUGAUCUAACGGUGGAGGAUGCACGUGACAGUUCACAUUCUCAUUUUCUUCACUAUAAAUAGGGGUCAUAGUGAACCAGAUUUUUCUUGCGUUUAUCAUAACUAGCUCCGAGAACCGAAAACCCUAUUCUUGCAAUCUUUAUCUGUCGGUUGAAGAGUUUAUAGAGGUAACGAUGUCUUCUCUUUCGGUUACCAGUUUAUUUUCGUCAGUAUCUGGGGGUCUGAGUAGGAGGCCAUUGGUCGAAGAUGUUGUUUCUAGUGAUGCCGAGAGUGUUGAGGAUUCUUCCCGUGUUGUCGGUCCUUUAAGUCGGGAGAGUAUGGAAUCGACAGUGUCUUUGUCAUUGAGUGGGUAUGAAGGUGAGGAGACCCGAGAGGCCAAAUAUGUGUGGGGGUUCAUGAGAAGGUCCAUAAAGUUCUUUUUCUGUGUUUACAGAGGUCUCAAUUUAAUGUUGCAUCUUUAAGGGAGGUGGGGAAUAUUCGGCACCAAAGUGCAUCUUCGGCCAUGUGCAGGAUAACUUGCGUCAGAUACGCGUUUACAUGUUCAUUCGGAUCAAUGGUUUCGUCAUAUUUGUUCAAAGUUGGAUUGUUCCAGGUUCCUGGCAAGGGCACUUUGAGGAUGGCAUCAACAAAGGGGCUUUUUCGAGGAACGGUGCUAAGAGCGUUAGGCGAAGUCGACCUCGUGUUCUCUUGAUAUGAGCUUCCGGCUUCGUGUAUUCCCGUAUCAGCUUCCGGGAUGUCCAACUUUUCAACGAGUUUCUACUUGAUCCGGACAUUCUCCUUCCGCAAUGUUUCCAUCUCCUCCUCAUUCUUUCUCUUUAUCCCUUUUAUCUCCUCUUCAUUCUUCUUCUUCAGCAUUUCCAUUUCUUCUUGUAUUUUCGAUAUCAAUGCCAUAGGAUCUGACUGACUGGUCUCGUCUUGAGUGUUCCUUUCGUUGCCUAUCAUGUUUUUCGUGGUCACCAUGCAGAUAUUUCGUGGGAUUUCCUUUCGGACCCACAGUGGGCGCAAAAAAUGUUCCUACAAAGUCGGGACUUCGUAGCACACUUUCUUUUGUCGUAAUCUUCUCGUCUUCUCGAUUUGUCGGUUGGGUUUCCUACCUUAGUGUCUUCCUUCGGUCUCCGGGUGCAAAAAAAGGGGUACCUGCAAAGGAACUCCGACGAUUAAGUCAGUCCGAGAGUCAAGUACCAGGAGAGUAGGGAGUGAAUAGUUACCUUGGAUGUUGUGCCUAUCUUCUUAUUUAUACUGUUCUGGAUGGACCCUGACUGUCAUGGACCUGCUUGGGGGUCCAGUUGGAGGCCCAAUUGUGCCUUAACCAUACUUUACGUCUAAGUUGACUUAUUUGUGUCUAAUCAUGUGUUUAAUUGUAAUUCUUGUUGGCUAACCGACUUCUCGGCCAUCCGAUAGCACAAAGUAUAUGAAAUCCUGGUCCAUGAAAGAGAGAUGGGCCAAAGGCUGCCCACCUCAUUUUAACGUGAAGGGGCACCAGCUGCCCAAGUUGUUCAGCAUGGGCUUGCCCCGCCUCAUGCAGCCUUUUGUUGGCAUCUUUCUUGGCCUUCUGAAUUAGCCUCAAGAAAUCCUUAUAGGCCUCCUUUUGGCGCUCCCAGCGACGGACCAAGGUCUCUUUUUCCUCUUUCAGCGAGGUGUUUGCUUUCUCCAAAGCUUGAAGGGCAGAGGCCUCAAUAACUUUGGCUUUAGCUUGCUCGCGUCAGGUGUUGGCACAAGCAAUGAAGGCACCCAUGUAGUAGUUCAUGCCUUCCUUCUUGGACCCUUCAGCUAGGCUGCGUGGAGACAAUUUUUCCAGGUAACCCCUUAGCGUUUCUUGGAUUGGCAUGGAAAAUUCUGGAGCAGGUGGUGGAGCUGAUGUGAGCUCAGUUUCAAUCCCACCCUCCAAGGCCAUUGGUUGUGAGGGAGAGGUGGUGCUUGGAGGGUGCUCCCUUAGCGAGUCAGCGUCAUGGUUGGAAGAGGAUGUGGAGGUAACGACUUGGGGGGCCGCCCAGGUGGUCCUUCUUCUCUUGAAGAUUUGUCCUUCAGCAAACUCGUCUUCGUUCUCAGAAGGAACCACCACCACCCUUUUACCUUUAUCAAGGGGGUUUGGUGUAGCAGUGGAUUCGGCUAGUGCAAGAGGCAUGACUGCUAUGGGAGGUGGUGAGUUUGGAGAAUGAGUUGGAGAGGGUAGAGUUUGGGGAGUUGAUGUUGGAAGUGGACUUUGGGGGCGAAGGGUGGGGGAGGUGGGGGCGUUUUCAGAGGUUGGAGGUAUGGAGACCCCACCCCCUUUUGGGUGAAACAGACUUCAUGACUUGGGCAAGUUUCCAUCUCCUUUGCUUAUGUAUUUUUGAAUCUGUAUCAAGAGGGCAAACGCAGUAAGAGUUAGGCACAAGCUAAAUUACGGCAUGAGAAAGCAGAUAAAUCAUGCACAAAGCAAAAACAAGCAGAAACAGAGAAUAGAUGAUUAGAAGGGGUGAUUCUCAUACUUAUGUAAUUAGCAAGGGCUUCAACGUCGUAUUCACGACCUAUCAGAUAGUUGAUGUGUCUCGCUUUGAGUAUCAUUGUCUCUGACACAGGUCUGUCAUGUGUAACAUCAAUGAGAGUAGCCUCUUCAGGUUGCAAUAUUAACCAACCAUUAACAUUAAGGAAUAACACAAGAAUGAUUUGUUUAAUAAACUACAAAAAAAAUGGAAACAAAGACUAAAAUAAAACAAUUUAUCAUCUCACAUUGGGCAAAGUAUUUUCCCUACAGAUAUAUUCUGCAGGUCCAAAACCAUCACUUUCUUGACAGGAAAAUGUUACAUACUUCUUGUUUACAAUAAUGACAACCUCUUCGCUACCGAUAAUACUAAUGAUAUUACUGCAGAUCCUAGCAAAGACGGACGAUCGCAUCUUAACCAUGGCUGUAUACUCAUACUCUGGGUCCGCAUUCGGCAGUAUCAUACCCGGUUUAGCAAUAUCCAUCAAUACCAGCCACAUCUCGGAAUGGGAAAUCUUAUCCCGUGCUUUAAAGAACAACAAAGUGAAUUAAUUCGUCAAUAAAAAAAAAAACUAAAUCACGUACCAGGGUUCUCAAUUGUGAAUUUCACGAUGUUGGAACCGUCAUCGACUUUAAUGGUGAUGGUGUCAUCAUCAUCCGCAUAGUUUAGCACUCCAACCAAGCUGUUAACAUCCAUAUCCAUGAUGAUGUCGCGGUCGCAACGGUAGUGCACAAACCCCCUAGAUCGGAGGAUAAAGUUGACGAUUAAAUUGUCCGAAUACAUAGUAUCGAAGAAGAUUCCUCCCGAGGAGAAGCAGUGGAAACUGGCGACUUCGACUAACUCCUUCAUCAUUUUCGAAAGGUUCUUCAGAAUAAUGUCUCCUUUCACGAGAUGGACUUCAAACAUUUUGAUGGAAGAUGAAAAUACUCGAUGGUGGCUGGUGAGGACUAGUGAUCCAGAGCUAUCGUGAAUUUGAUUGCAGCUGCUCUAGCUAGGGUUCCCUUUUUAUAGGGUUUAGGGUUUAAGGUUUAGGGUUUAUGGUUUAGGGCUAAGGGGUUAGGGUUUAGGGGUUAAGGCUUAGGGCUUACGGUUUUAGGGCUUAAGGCUAAGGGCUUAGGACUUAGGAUUUAGGGUUUAGGGCUUAUGGCUUAGGGUUUAUAGUGUAUGGUUCAGGGUUUACGGUUUUAGGGUUUAUGAUUUUAGGGAGGUUUAGGUUUCGGCAUGGAUUCACUUUGGUGAAUUCUUCCUUGGCCGAGAGGUUUUUAACGUGCUCUCGGCAGGGAUUCACUUUGGUAAAUUCUUCCUUGGCUGAGAAGUUUUUAACAUGCUUUCGGCAGGGACUCACGGGUGAAUUCUUUCUUGGUCGAGAGGUUACCAUGUGGUGCAUUACUACUUCAGGGCUCUGGCUUCGUAUGUUCAAAGCUAUCUUGCCAAAUUUGUCCAUAAAGGUUCUUAGGGACUCAUCUUUUUCUUGCCGGAUAUUUACUAAGGCGAUGGAGGUGAGGUGGUGUGGACAGCUGGUAGUAAAAUGCGCUCCGAACUUUGUCGUGAGCGUGUCAAAACAGUCUAUGGACUGAACCGGUAGUCGAGCAAACCAAUUUAAUGUUGCAUCUUUAAGGGAUGUGGGGAAUAUUCGGCACCAUAGUGCGUCUUCGACCAUGUGCAAGAUAACUUGCGUCAGAUACGCGUUUACAUGUUCAUUCGGGUCAAUGGUUUCGUCAUAUUUGUUCAAAGUUGGAUUGUUCCAGGUUCCUGGCAAGGGCACUUCGAGGAUGACUUCAACAAAGGGGCUUUUUCGAGGAACGGUGCUAAGAGCGUUAGGCGAAGUCGACCUCGUGUUCUCUUGAUAUGAGCUUCCGGCUUCGUGUAUUCCCGUAUCAGUUUCCGGGAUGUCCAACUUUUCAGCAAGUUUCUACUUGAUCCGGACAUUCUCCUUCCGCAAUGUUUCCAUCUCCUCCUCAUUCUUUCUCUUUAUCCCUUUUAUCUCCUUUUCAUUCUUCUUCUUCAGCAUUUCCAUUUCUUCUUGUAUUUUCGAUAUCAAUGCCAUAGGAUCUGACUGACUGGUCUCAUCUUGAGUGUUCCUUUCGUUGCCUGUCAUGUUUGUCGUGGUCAUCAUGCGGAUAUUUCGUGGGAUUUCCUUUCGGACCCACGGUGAGCGCAAAAAAUGUUCUUACAAAGUCGGGAAUUCGUAGCACACUUUCUUUUGUCGUAAUCUUCUCGUCUUCUCGAUUGGGUUGGGUUUCCUACCUUAGUGUCUUCCUUCGGUCUCCGGGUGCAAAGAAGGGGUACCUGCAAAGGAACUCCGACGAUUAAGUCAGUCCGAGAGCCAAGUACCAGGAGAGUAGGGAGUGAAUAGUUACCUUGGAUGUUGUGCCUGUCUUCCUAUUUAUACUAUUCUGGAUGGACCCUGACUGUCAUGGACCUGCUUGGGGGUCCAGUUGGAGGCCCAAUUGUGCCUUAACCAUACUUUGCCUCUAAGUUGGCUUAUUUGUGUCUAAUCACGUGUUUAAUUGUAAUUCUUGUUGGCUAACCGACUUCUCGGCCAUCCGGUAGCACAGAGUAUAUGAAAUCCUGGUCCAUGAAAGAGAGAUGAGCCAAAGGCUACCUAUCUGCUUCCAGUGAAAUUCAGAUCAUAUUUAUCUUAUCUAUGGAACAAAUUUACCUUAGUGGACAAGCAAUUUUAAUGCAAAUAAUUUCUUUAAUAAAUUAUUACCUACCUUUUCAUAAAAAAAAAUGUUAUUGUUUAUGCAUGACAUGUUAUACAAGUCUACUAGUAUUAUUAAUGAUAAAUUGUAUUAUAAUUUGUGCACCAAAAUAGGCACGAGAUUGCAGGUGAGGUGAGGUAGGAAGCAAGGUAGAGAAGUUCAAAGUGGGAGAGAAGGUGGGUGUGGGGUGCAUGGUUCAAUCUUGUAGGUCAUGCGACAACUAUAGUGAUAAUCUUGAGAAUUUCUGUUCAAAAGUGGUUUUGACGUAUGAAUCGAAGUAUGUUGAUGGAAGCAUCAUACAAGGAGGGUACUCUGAUAUGGUGGUCGUAGAUGAACACUUUGUGAUAAGCAUUCCUGAUGGCCUAUCUCUUGAGGCUGCUACUCCUCUCUUAUGUGCUGGGAUCACUGUGUAUAGCCCUCUCUUAUAUUUUGGAAUUGGCAAACCAGGCUUGCAUGUGGGUUGGUUGGUCUUGGUGGCGUUGGUCAUAUGGCUGUGAAGUUUGCCAAAGCUUUUGGGGCUAAGGUCACUGUAAUCAGUACAUCUCCCAACAAAAAGAAGGAAGCCAUUGAGCAUCUUGGAGCUGACUCAUUUCUUAUCAAUCGUAAUCAAGAUGUCAUGGAGGUAUUUACCCUUUUCGAACCUUUCCAUAAUAAUUUUAUAAAACCAAUUAUCAGACCAAAAUCAUGUAUUAACAAGUAGUAUGGUUUGAAUUCUACUUUGCACUAUUUUGAAUUUUUGAAUAUGCUUUAACUUUUGUAUCUGUGAGGAACAGUUAUUGGUGAACUUCUGAUGGCUAUUUUUGGAUUUAGGCUGCAAAGGGUACCUUGGAUGGUAUAAUAGACACAUUUUUUGCAGUCCAUCCUCUUCUCCCUCUGCUUGAAUUGUUGAAGGCUCAUGGGAAGCUUGUCAUAGUUGGUUUACCAUAUAAGCCUUUGGAGCUAUCUGCCUUUCCUUUAAUUGGAGGUAUGCAUGCACAUGGAAAAUAAUUACAUAAUAAUUACAUAAUAAUUACAUAUGUAUAAAGAACCUUUGUACUACUCAAUUGGAAUAACUAUUAAUUUUAUAAUGAUUUGAAUAUUGUUACAAUUUUGAAGCCAAGAGAACAUGCCAGCAGUUGACAGGCAGUUCCAUAAAUGGAGGCCCAAGUGGGGAGACAGUUACUGUAGCAUCCACCGAAUGGUUCUUUGGGAAUUCCUUUCCCUCAGUGUCUCCUUCAACAAGCAAUGGUGGUGCCAAUGUUAACCACACUAGCAACGAUCCAAACAACAACUGGACUGGUGUCCUUGCCUAGGGAGAUUUGCAGUAGUAACCAUACAGCGCAUUGCCCUAGAUUUAACCAAGAGGAGUUAGAGAGGAGUUGCAGGUAGAGCUACCUUUUCUUAAUCUUGCAAAGCAAAUGAACAAGUUAUAAUUAGGCCAUAGGUUUGAGAUAUACAUGAUAGAGUGUCGUUUGCCAUUGAUUUGGGAGAAUACGUAUGAAUUAGAAAGGACUGCUUCUUCAUGCAAUUCCAUCUAUCUUUUCAAGCACCCGAUAAUAAAACCGAUUUUAUUAUUAUACUUUCAAUAUUUUAAAAAAAUAAAAUUUAAUUUAAUUUUUACUUUAAUCUACUCCUAUCUUUUCAAAUUUAUGCUCAUUCACUCUAUAUUCUACUCCAAACGACGCCCUCCAAAGCUCUCACCUUCUUCAAAACUCUCAUCUCUGGUAAAUCUCUUCUCCAAAUCUUUCUUCUAAACAUUGUACUUCAUCAUUCAUGUUAUCCUCUUCAUCCACAUGUUAGUAGGUUUUUAUGAUUUUCCUUUUUAAUUUGAAUUUAGUGAAAAUAAAGUAUUCUAGUAGUUUUAGAUCAUUAAAUAGAUUACAUAAUCUGGUUAGUGUUUACUUAGGUCUCGAAUUAUGUAAUCCGAUAGAUUUAUUUUAAAUGAGUUCUGAAUAGGUUUUGGACUACGUAGUCCAAAAGUCGUAACUUUUGUGUUUUAGAUUACGUAAUCCGGUAGGGUUAAGGUUUCAAUAAGUUAUGGAUUACAUAAUUUGGUAUUGGUAGUUGCUAAAUAGAUUAUGAAUUACAUAAUUCAGUAGGUUUAUUUUCUUAAAUAAGUUAUGGAUUAUGUAAUUCGGUAUUGUUAGUUUUUAAAUAGGUUAUGAAUUACAUAAUCUAGAAGUGGUAAUUUUUUAGUUAUGGAUUAUGUAAUUCGGUAGAUUUAUUUUCUUAGAUAAGUUAUGGAUUACAUAAUCCAAUAGUAUGAGUUGUUAAAUAGAUUUUGGAUUAUGUAAUCCGGAAGUUUGUUAAAUAGAUUUUGGAUUAUGUAAUCCGGAAGUUGUAACUUGUAAUUGAGUUUUGGAUUAGGUAAUCCGUAGUGUAAAACAUUUACUUUUACUUUUAUCUUUUUUAUUAAAGGGUGAUUUUGGAAAUUUCAAAAUUUAUGGAGGUGGCUGAAGAAGUGAUGGAGGUGCAGGAAGAAGAUGGCAUUAGAAAGUCAUGGUAAUUUGUUUGAGUUCGGGCCCAUUUUGCUUUCUGGCCCAAAAUGUUUUAUAUACAUACCCCUUUUUUCUGUUUUUCUAAAGAGCCUGGGGCCAUUUGACUUGCCCAGAAUUUUUGCUACUGCCACUCGAGUUUGUUAUGCAUCCAUCACUUUCUUAAAAUCCUGGCCCAUUCAUUUUAUUCUGCAUUUUUGUUAUUAGAACUUCCUCUUUUAUAUUUCCACCACCACUUUUCUUAAACAAUCUAGUAAAACUCUAUAAGUGUGUCCAAAAUUGAAUAUAUCAUUAUUAUUCUUUUGAAAUAUAAGGAGUAGUGAUUUAGUAAUAACAAGAACUAAAAUGACUGUUACCGAGUAAUUUAUUUUAUCCUUGUACUUUUUAAAUUGUUGUUUGAAAUUUUUGUUUGUAUAAAUAAUAAAAAAAUUACUAUUUUUUUUAAAUGAGUUUAAUUUUGAUACAUAAUUUUUUAUAUUAAUCAAUUAAAAAUAUCCUAAAUAUGAUUUUUCAAGCCAUUAUUAUAAAAAAAAUAAAAAUUCAUAAUCAGAUGAUAACUUAUAAAGGAUUAAUAUUAAAUUUAGUUAUCCAAGAAAAUAGUAAACAAAUUAGUAAUUAAACAUUUUUCAAUUAAAAAAUUUAUUCUUUUCAUUUUUCGUUGAUACAUGCUAGUUCGGAGCUUCGUGGCAAUUUUGCUUGCUCCAUCGCGUUAGGGUUUUCAUAGUUUCCCAAAACAAGUUCCUAGGGUUUGUUCAUUCAGGCAAAAAAAAUGAUCGACUUGUUGUUGACGAAGCCCAAUUGGAACGACGUCGUAGACGAAGAAGAUUCAAUUCGAUCCGGAUUGUCCCUUCUGAGCGACUUGGAAACCGUUAUUUGGUCCGCGGUGGGUCGCGCCGAGGCGCGUUUAUGGCUCUGCAACACCGUCGCGGGUUUCAACUGCGUGACUUUACUCGAUCAGGGUGACCUGUUUCGGGCUUCGCUAAGAACACGAAGGACGAAGCGUGAUUUGGCGUCUCAGCUUCUGCAUUUCUUGUUUGACACCUCGCCCCACAAACUGGGUUCCGUUUUGGCUCGGAGGAGUCACGUGCUUGAGAAUUUUUUUCAAGGUUAGUUCCGUUUGCGCAUUCUUUACUCUUUUAAAGUGCUG